AUGUUUUUCAGGUUCACACGUAAGCGGCGCAGCGGCGCGGCGGCGCGAGGAAAGGGCGUAGCUUCGUAGAUAGUGCCCUACCACCGAGACCAAAGAUAGAAGUACCCCCAGUCAGUUUAGCUUAGGGGUGUGAAAAGAAAAGAAAGAACAAAAUUGUAACAAAUUGUACUAAAAAGGAUUGUAUUUGAAAAUGGAAUGUAAAUUUAAUGUAAAUGUAAUGUUAAGUGAGCUGAAUACUUGUAAUAGCUUAGUAGUUAUGUUCUUGAUACCUUCCUUACGCAAUCUAUGUAUGUAUUAUGUUCCUGUUUGGAACUAUUUAAGUUGUACUGUUUGCGAUGCCUAGGACGUACAAGGGAAACUCUGUCCGUUCGGCGGUCUAUCGGCGCACCGAAUCCGACCAAAGAGGCGAGUCUCGGGGCGUGAUAGACAACUUCCUAAAGGUUUCGACGUUCCGGAUGUGGUGCUCGCUGUAUAGAAGGGAUCCAAGCACCAAGGAGAAAGUUACACAACCUAUCCGUCGAACUAAAAGCUCCUCGGGGAGCGACGUUACUAAUUCAACAACUAGAGGCCCCCCAGCAGCAACCAAGAUGAGCACGACGAUGUACAGGGUCCAGCGGCGAAGUCACAGGUGCCCAGAUCCGCUAGAUCCACGAUCUCUGUCUAUUGGAUCCCUCCAACUCGAGCCUAAAUAAGGCAGCAUCCAGCAGCAGGGCUAUUUUGCUACCGUGCAACCCGAAGAUGGCCUACAGCGGCCAGGUAUAGUAGCCCCGACCGAAGAAGACCCCGAGGUGAGGUUGCCGGCGGUGGGGGCUCCAUACAUCAAGCUGCGACCGCACCGACACAAGCUUAGUUUUAGGUGAGCUCAGGGCUCGAGGAAGGCGGCGAGGUUGGCGAGGCAAGCUUGCGGGCGCAAGAGCAUCCACAAGCUAGCGGCGGCGGCGGCGAUGCAGCAAUGCUUUCGAGAGAGAGAGGGAGCUCAAGAGCAAAAAAUGUUAGAGAUCAUAAGGAAGAGAAGAGAGAGAGGAAGAAGACCAUGGCUGGCCUACGCCGGCCUGGGAAGUCGCCGGCAACCCGCAUGGGGUGUGGCGGCGGUUGUGCAAGAGAGUGGGUUAGGGUUAGGGUUUACAAAACCUGUAUAGAUAUCUUUAUAUAAAUAUAUGUAUACACACACACACACAUACAUAUGUAUAUAUCCCUUGUAAAAUUACAUUAACCCCCUCCGAAGUCUCUCUUUCUCAACAACAACUACAAAGCACUGCAUUUUUUUGCAGGGGGUCUUCCUGCAGUAAAAAUUUAUACUUUUUACCCAUAGAAUCUAGCAAUUUUUAUAGAAAUACCCCCGAUCAAAUUCUCCUCUCUCAACUUCAAAUCUAUGCCAUUUCCCACAGAAAUCUUCGAAUUUCGUAAAACUUGAAUCCGUGCAUUCCUUGUUGAGUCUACUAUCAUGUGAUCUCUUCUACAAGUCAAAAUUCCUAAAUUUUUCAUAUGAAAUGGUAGCCUCUUCGCGAACUGCUCCAUUUUCACAAACUGCAGAAAUUGCAAUUUGGUCCCCAAAACUCAGAAUUUCAAACUGAGAACUCACCAUUGCAUGUAAAUUGCACAGUUGCACCCUCCCCUAAAGUUUUUAUGCAAUUUGGCACAUGAAAUGUUGUGCCUUUUUCACAACAAUUCAAUUUCUCCAAAAUGGUCACUAUUUGAAUUUCGCUAAUUAAAUACAAUGCUUUCAACUCGCAGAAACCAGAAACAGACUUCAUCACGACCUCCGGCACUGUUGGACUAUCAAAGUGAUGAUCUCGUUUCGUUAGACACGGUUGCAAUUUGCUAAAAUACUAUAUCAACUUAUCAGAUCCCCUAUUUGAAUUUAGGGAACCAAAUUAAUAUUUAAAUUCUAAAUUUCAAAUGUUAAUUUUCCAAAUUCGAAAAUUUCGAUUUCCUACGACUUCUCUCACUCCUCAAUUGGGAUAAUAAUCCCCUAAUUAGAAAUUAACCUGAUAGAUAUAUAUAGAAUAUUUCAACUCCAUCUCGAUCGUCUCAUUCUUCUAAUUAGAUUAUUUUUUAAAUUAUUGAUGGUGGUGCCUCAAACCGUGUAACUUUACCAUUUUCUUGCCGUAUUUCUAAAGAUUGUCAUGAACCUGCACAUUUAUCAGGUGGGCAAAAAAUACCAAUCAAGCAUAAAGGCGUAAUUGAUAUCUCUUCUAGCAUUGUAAGGCGAUGUUUCAUGUGUAUUCUAUCAGAUAAAAAGCUAACACGUGAACUAAAUUGCAUGUGCUUCCAUAUUUUUCUCAGUUUUUGUGGGUCAACGACUCGUCAACAAAGAGGCUUAGUUGGAGUAGGUGAAUUAAUAUUGCGGUGCAUGGACUACAUCAUCUCUUGCGUCGUUUUUUCGUUAUUAGAUUACGAAACAUGAACUUAAUUUUCCUACUUCACGAGCUUCGUCAACUGGGUUACGUCACAAGUGACCUGGGAAUCUAUACACACGGUCAACGUAUCCCAAGUGUGUGACUAAUGAUAUUUAUAAUAAAUAUGCCUUGUCAAAUCAACUUUUGUUUGUGAUAGUUGCCAUCGUGCUACACAAGCAAGGCUCAAUUUCUUUCUAGAGCAGUGCAGUAACUUCUCAUCGAAGAGUGGGAUUAAUUGCUCAUCACUUUGUCAUGCUUCAAAAAUUCGACCAAAAAGAUCUCAAGAAUAGAAAAUAAUUUUAAAAACUUUUUUGAGCCUCUGAAUAAGAUUUGAGAGAUCAGUUUGAACAAAAUGGAGUCAAAUUAAUACUUUGAAUUAACUAAAAAUUAAUUAAGUAAAUAUUAAUUUGAUUCAAUAUGAAUAUAUCGAAUUUGAACAAAACAAGCUCAAAAGUCUUUGAAAAGUUUUUUAAAUUAGCCAAAUUUUAUUUGUGUCGUUGCAAAGUUUUUGAAUGGUUUUAAAGAGGUCUUAGCCAAAUUUUAUUUGUGCCACGCCUAGGGUUCGAGCGAGAGUAGUCCUGCGGUAAUGUGCCCAGAACUAUCGUGUACACAAGGCUCCCUCAUGCACAUGAAGCAACAAACUACCACAAUAACUCAUACACAGUAAUAGAGAUCAAAUACGAGUUGGAGUAUCAAGUAUGAAAACACUAUUCUAAUAUGAGUAUAUAACUACUAAACCAAAGAAAAUGCUAGAAGUUUUAAAUUCAAAUUUUAAAACACUUCUAAAAUGUCAUUGCCCUACAAGGGUCCCAAUACUAGUCUCACCAAAAUAAAGUGGUGGAGAGCUAACUAUGGCGCAAUCUCUUUGCCUUGAUCAUACACGAAAGACAAAGGAUACUCUGAAAAAGGAGCCAACAAAAUGGAGUGAGAACUAUAAGAAAUAAUUUCUAGUGAAUACCAUCACCAUAAGAAGCAAGCAUUCUACCCACUAGGUCUACUAGAAGCAUUUAGUCAAGAAAUAGAUAAUAAGUGCCAACAUGUAAAAAAAAAAACUUCUAACAACAAAUAUAACUAUUAUUGUGCUUCUGCUGGAUCAACCAUGUCAAUGGUCAUCUCUACAUGUGUCGCUAUAAAAAAAAGUAAUAUUUAAGGAUGUUUUUUCAAUAUUUAACGAUGCUUAAAAGCAUCUCAAUAUAAUCUAGCGUCACAUUUAAAAGCAUCGAUUAAAAUGUCGGGAAAUAAAAAGUCGCCACAUACUGUGAGUAUUUUUUUAUAGUGUUUGACUGAGUUGGAGACGUUUUUUUAUAGUGUUUGACUGAGUUGGAAACGUUUUGGCGCCAAAUAAAUGCAAAAAUGAACUCAAGAAGUCAAAGAUUUAAUUUGUGAGGUACAAAAGUCGAAAUAUUUGAUCUUGAGGGGCCUUUUUGCAUUUUUUUUCUUUUUCAUUCUAUGGUGGCCACGUAGCCCUUGAUGUAUGCCUUAUAAGAGGCAUGCCUGAGCCUUAUUUCUUUUGGUAAGGGGGAAAAAAAAAGAGAAGCAUAGGGAGACUGAGCACGACGAAGGUAAAAGGACAAAAAAAAAAAAAUUUGCUUUCAUAGUGAGUCGAGCGCGCGCGUGUUUAUUUUUUGUAUUUCGACAUCACGGUUAGUAUAACAAUAUUAUUAUUUCUCGUUUUAGCACUACAACAAAAACGGUCUAUAGCGACAUUUUUAAAUGUCGGAAAAAAGUGUUGCUGGCUAAAUUUACCGACACUUUUGAAAAGUGUUGCUAUAUGUGGGGUCGCUAGGUAUAUAGUGACAGUUAAAGAGUGUUGCUAUAAUCUAAAAGAGUGCAGCUAAUUUACCAACAUUUUAAGCAUCUAGCAACCGCCGGAAUUCUACCUCGUUGACUGCAGUGGCGGAGGAGGACGAGAGGAAAUGAUCUUCGUCUAGGAUUUCAGUCGAUUGAAUGAGGGGAGAAGGGAAAAUGAUAAUCGAAUUUUCUUUUCUUUUUCUUUUCUGUUUGUAAUCGGGCCGAAUGGGCUAAGUGGAGUGGGUUGAGUAGAGUACCCUUUUAAUUUUAGUUGGAUUGGACUUUAUAUUUAGGCAUUAGUACGAUUUUUUUUAAGUUUUGGCAUAAAUGUGACACUUAUACAAAAGUGUCCCAAACAUGUGUCGCUAUAACCUAAUUCUGUUGUAGUGUAGAUUCUUUUGAUAAAUUUUUUGUGGAAAUUGAGAGUUAGAAACUGAUUUUUUUUAUAUGUUUUAGGAGUUGAUUUCGUGGCUGCAUGUCGUUCAGACUAGAAGAGCUGUGGCAUAUCAUCUGAUUAUUUUGACUGUCGUACUGUUUCUUGGAUUUAUGAUAUAGAUGGAUUUUGUGUUGUCAAAAUUGGCAGACUAAUUUUUAUAUUCAUAUUAUAUUAUUUAACCUCUGAGAUAAACUGUUGAUGUAGUUGAGAUAGUAGUGAUAUUUUGAUACUUACCAGUAGAGUAAAUUAAGACAUAUAUAUCUGUUAUAUUUCUAAAGGUCAACAGACAAUUACAGAUAGUGUGAGACUAUAACUAUAUUUUGGACACUAUAACAGUAUUAUUAUGAUCUAUUUGAUCAUUGCAUUUGACCACAGCCUACAUACUAAGUUGAGUUUGACAGUGAUACUAUACUCGAUUGUGAUAGCGUCCCGCAAGUGCCACUCCGGAGGUUGGGUUAUGAGAUAUUAUUAUAGUAUGGGCGAGACAGUAGCCUGCAUGGUAGCGGACUACUAUAGGUAGGUGCUGAAUACGACCCAGCGCAGGCUAGACCUGACUGUUGAGUCGGUCACUAUGAUUGGGUCUUAUUGCAAUGUUUUAUUCAGUAACUAAUUGAUGCAUGGCGUAUAUGAAUUGUAAAUUUCAGUUAUAUUGUAGAAGUAUGAUAGUAGUAAUUAUUUUCAGCAAUUAUUCAUAUUAGUAAUUAUUUAUUUACACUUCUCAGUCAUUUACUAUUUUUACCUCUUAUGGACCUAGUGGUGUAGACCGUCAGCGUUGAUGAUCGUACACACUAGGGACUAUUGAUUAUAAUUUUCAAAUCCUCUUUAUUAAUAUUUUAUUUCAGAACCUUCAACAUUAGUGACUGAUCGAGAUAAGGGGAUUGUAGAUAGUUAGUAUCUCCUAUCCUUUUUCUUUUUGUGUGUGUAGUUGAACCACCUAUCAUAGUAGAUAGUAACUUGUACAGUACUUUGAGGUUUGAAUAGUCAGAGAUGUUAUACCAUUUUGGGGGACGGGUAUAGAGAUGAUUGUAUAUCUUUACGGUGUUGCUAUAGUAUAUAAUUUUUAUUUUCUUCUGAUACCUAUUGUUGUUAAAUUUUAGUAAAUUUUGUUGAAUAGAUUUUGUUAACGCUUUAUAUGUAUAAGGUGUAUCCUUGUGCAUGCGGCGGGUCUGUUGACGUAACCCGGGAUGCGGCGGGUCUGUUGACGUAACCCGGGAUUUCGCUGUAAUUCGAGACGUGACACCACGUAACUACUGACGCUUAUGCUAAGCGUUAGUAAAUUAUAUUCUGACGCUUUAAAACAUCAAAAUUUUUUAAAAUCCUUACGCUUUAAAGCGUCGAAAAAUUAAAAAUAAUAGUAAAGUUUAUUAUUUAAAUAAAUUAGUUUAAUACAAUAGAGGGUUCAUUUUGACGAUGCUUUUUGAAGCAUCGGUAUUCGCUAUGCUGUAGGGAUAUUUGGUGAUGCUUUCCCCAAGCAUCGUCUAAAAUGUGUCGUUAUAUUAGGAUUUUCUUGUAGUGAUCAACGUACGUGAAUAUUUGUUGACUACACCAGUGCCACAUUAGCCGACCAAACAAGGUCUCAUCUAGCUUGCGUCUUGCCUAGUGAGACGUCGAACAAUCAUAUACGAACCCACAUCAGCACUCAACAGCUAGCGUGAGGUGAACAAUCGCAUCCUCUCUUGGUUAUACCUUCAGAGGACCAAGACUUGUAGGGAGCGACCCUCACAAAAUAAAAUACUCAUUGAGCACCUAAAAAUGGUUUCAAUUUGGAUGCCUGAAAUAGAGAAUCGAGCACCUGAAAAUGGUUUCGAAGGGUCCCCCGUUGCGCUUGAAUCUUUUGAACGCUUAUCUGGAGAGCUGGAAUUUCGAGAACUGGACUAUUCGAACGCCCGCAUUGCCCUACGAGUGCCUGGAAGUUAAUUCGGACUCUAUCUUUGGGCGUCCGGAUGAUUUCCAAACUGCCAACCUAAGGGGGGAAAUCCUACACAAAAGAUUUGGAUGUCCGAUAUCCCCUGCAAGCAUUCGGAGCAACUUUCGGAUAGUCCUUGUUGGCGUCCGAUGCCACAUUUGGACGCCCAACUCGACAGCUUCCCUUGUGUGAGAAGUCGACCUUUUGGAUGCCUGAAAUACCCUGCGGGCACCCGAAUUGAAAAGCGAGCGAAGCCAGCACAUGCCUCCAACAACUUCGAGGUGUAGCUACAUAUUUUGGGGCAUUGUCACCUUCUAUCGAAUGCCAGAAAGUUGGGCCAAGUGCUCGAAAAGUUUGGGCGAGCGCCGAAAACUAGCGUACAGAUAUGGUCUCUGACUCCGUCAUCUUUAGGAUUUUGAGUUCACCUCUUAUAGUUUGUCAGCGAACUCUUUUCGCCUUCUAUUCGGCUUUGUAGGUAUUUGCAAGGAUCCCCCAGGCUUGUCAUGAGGUGGUAGCAGCCGAAACUUGUUUUGAUGAAGAGGGCCUUCUGAUCCUUCUUUUUUUGACUCUUUUAGAGCCGUGAUUUAAUUUUCUUGGAGCGCAGCUUCAUCCGGAGACUCUACAUAGAGUCUCUAGAUAGUUUCGAACAAGUUCCAUUUUGCAUCACAUCUAACUGAUUCCUUAGUUUGGAUUGAAAAUGGAGAGGAAAAAAUGAGAAGAACUUUACUUUUCUUUUGAUUGAUAAUACAGUCACACCCUAUUGCCUCUAUUUAUAAGGCUUAGACUAGCUACAUAAGGAAGAACAAUCUAAACUUAUCCAAAACCUCAAAAGAAACUUGAUUAAUAUUAAAGCUAGCUAUUUAUGAGAUAAAACAAAACCCAACAAAUAAUAAAUUUCAAAAUAAUAAAAUAUAUCCUAAUUAACAAAGAGAGAGAUAAAAUAAUUAAUUUUAUCUCUUUCCAACAAUUUGGACAUGUUACUAUAAAAAUAUUUUUUGAAUAAAAUAAUGAAAUGUUUGAGAUAAUUUUCAGGAAAAAAAAGCUAAAUAUUUUGGAUUUAUUUGAGAGAAUAAUAAAAAUGCAAAAGUUCAUUAGUGCGCACUAUUGAAACAAUUGAAAUAUACAAGGAAAACUGAACAAACGAAAAUUAUUGCUGCACCUGGCGUAUAACCUUGUCAACUCACUACAAUAAAAACGGUCUAUAGCGACACUUUUAAAUAUAGGUACAUAUCAAAAAAGUGCUGCUAGCUAAAAUUACCGAUCUUUUAAAAAGUGUUGCUAUAUGUGGGGUCGCAAGGUAUAUAGUGACAGUUAAAGAGUGUUGCUAUAACCUAAAAGAGUGCUGCUAAUUUACCAACACUUAUUUAAGCAUUUAGCAACUGCCGAAACUCUAUCUCGUUGGCUGCGGUGGCGGAGGAGGACGACAGGAAAGGCUCUUCGUCUAGAAUUUCAGUGGAUUGAGUGAAGAGAGAAGAAAAGAUGGUAAUUAAUUUUUCUUUUUUUUCUGUUUGUAAUCGGGUCCAAUGGACUGGGUGUGGUGGGUUGAGUAGAGUAAUCUUUUAUUUUUGGUUGGAUUGGGCUUUAUAUUUAGGCAUUAGUAGAUAUUUUUUUAAGUUUUAGCAUAAAUGGGACACUUACUCAAAAGUAUCCCAAACAUGUGUCCCUAUAACCUAAUUCUGUUGUAGUAACUGUGCACCGCACUAGUCCAUCUCCCACAUCAAGAUUAGAUAAUUUGUAAAAAAAAUUAUAAAAAAAUAAAAUAUUUAGGUACGAUGAAAAUUUGGACAUGCUAGCUGGAUUAACCAAAAAAAGAAAAAAAAAAUCUCUAAUAAGUUACAAAUUAAUUCUCUAAUAUUUGAGGUAUAUAAUUUAGAAUGCUACAUAAUAAAAGUUACCCUUACAUUUGCUUUCUAUUUAUUUGCUUCUCUGCAUAUGCCAUUUUCAUUUCUUUUGGUUUAAGUUUAUUUAAAAAUAUUUAAACUUUAUUUGAAAGAAAUGUAAAAAAAAUGUGAACUUCUUAUUAUUACAGCAAUUGUAGCAGAUCCCCAGAUUGGCACACCCUCAUGUACUAUUCAUGUGUCAGUAUAUGUAUAUGAUAUUUAGAUUUUUAAUUAAUUGACUUAAAUAUACAGUUAAGGGUGUUGAUUGUUUGGUUCCAAAUUAUUUGCAAGUAAAUUCACUACAACAAAAACGAUGUAUAGCGACACUUUUAAAUGUCGACACAUGUCAAAAAAAAUACUGCUCGCUAAAUUACCAACACUUUUAAAAACUGUUGCCAUAUGUGGGGUCGCUAGGUAUAUAGUGACAGUUUAAGAGUAUCGGUAUAACUUAAAAAGAGUGCUGCUAAUUUACCAACACUUAUUUAAGCAUUUAACAACCGUCAGAAUUUUGCCUCGUUGGCUGUGGUGGCGGAGAAGGAGGAGAGCGAAGGGCUCUUCGUCUAGGGUUUCAGUGGAUUGAGUGAGGGGAGAAGGGGAGAUGGUGAUCGAUUUUUUUUUCUUUUUUGUUUGUAAUCGGGCCGAAUUGGCUGGGUGGGGUGGGUUGAGUAGAGUAACCUUUUAUUUUUAGUUAGAUUUGACUUUAUAUUUAGGCCUUAGUAGAUUUUUUUAAAAGUUUGGCAUAAAUGAAACACUUACACAAAAGUGUUCCAAAUAUGUGUCAACCCUAUAAUCUAAUUAUGUUGUAUGAUUGAACCAAACCAAACCGAAUACAAAAAUGCAUAAUACAGUUUACCUACUUUGUAAUUUACUUUACUUCUAAAAGUAGCUGAAAUUUGAUUUUUAGUUUUGAUUCAGCUUUUCUUUUUGACACUUCUUUAUGCUCAAUGGAAUCGAAAAAAGAACGGCGGUACUAUAUAUACGCAUUUCUUGUCACUAUCGUGUAUCCAAAAUUUUAUGAUCCAGAUUUAAUUUUGUAUUUAACAAUUACCGUUAUCCAAGUUUGGUUGUUAGAUUAUAGAUAUUAAUUUUUAAGAAAAGUAGGAUAAUUGAAACCAAAAUGCAAUAGAUUUUUUAAACCGACUACUUCAGUUUGGUUUAAAAGUUUCUUCCAAAUCACCAAAUCAAACUAAGUUCACCAAUAUAUAUAAACAAUUUAAAAUACAACUUUGUUAUGCAAUAUACAUCAACAAUAUUAUACGAAACCUUUUUUGUGAGGGACCAGGUAUUUUCCUCACGAGAAUCGUUGAUCCUAUUGAUAGCCAAUAAAAUAGAAAGUUUUAACAAAAUUUCUCAUUGAAAAUGUGAAAGAAUGGAAAUCACAAGAGUCAGAAGUUAACCAAGUGUUAAUAGAAAAAAGUUGAAAGUUACGGAGGCCUAAUUCAAAAUGGCUUAUAGUUAAGGUCUCCAUGCCUAAUUUUAAACGUUAAAUUAAUUAAAUGCAGUAACCUGAGGGAUUAACUAAACAACUAUAUGAAACUAUAUGAGAUUACUUUCUCUCCAUGCAAAAGUACAUAUCUCAUAUGCCUUGCUUUGGAACCCAACUUAUUCCCCUCAAAUAUACCAAACCCAACAUUUGUCCCCCACUACUAGGCCUAUCAAUAGCAGCAACUACAGAUUCCCACAAAGAAAAAGAUGUUGUGUAAUGUUAUUAGAGGCACCAAUAAAAACCAACCAACUCUAAUUGCUAGAUACAUUGAUCUCAUUGUUGAUAUUUCUCCCUCACUAGCUCCAAUUACACUUCUAUGGCUCUCUCCGCGAAUCCUAAGUUCCUCCUCGCAGCCACCCACGCCCGUACGGUGGCUCAUAUACUGGCCCUGGUGGCGGUGAUCCUCAUGCUGGUGUGGGUGCUCCAUUAUCGAGGCGGCGCGAAUCUGCGCUCAGAUGCGGAUCCAGAGUUGAUCUUUAAUGUAUGUGUCUCAUUCAUGUUGUACGAGUUAAUAACAUGUUUAGGUAUAAAUAAGUUGUUCCUACAUAAGUUAAUGUGCUACUUAUAAAAGAACAAACUGUCAUAUCAGCUAUAUAUGCAUGUCUAUUUGUCAUCUUUUCUCUCUUAUCUUUUCUUUCACUUUCUCUUUCCUCUUUUCCAUUCAGCUGAUCUAAUUUUCUCUCAGUUUGCGCCUCCCUUACGCGUGAUUAAAAACUUAUUCGAGUCAAAACUAGAUUAGACAAUAGCUACAGCAAUUAACUACAUUAAUUCUAUAUCCUGACCCUAUCUAUAUGCGUAAUUAAAACUAGAAUCGAGCAGUGUCAUUUAUAUGUACAAAGCUAAACCUAAAUUUAAAUUAGAUUUAGUUGGACCCAACUAGAUUUACCCUGGUUUAGGAGAUUUAUAUGAGUGUAAGAUUAAUUGAUGAUGUUUCUUUUGUUCCAAGUAAACUAUAUAUAAAAAUUUGAAGUACAAAUCUAAUAUGGCAUAUUUAGAAUACUAUUAGAAAUUUCAUAAUUAAACAUCUAUCCCAAGACACCUACAUAAUAAAGAUGAAAUCACAAGACACAUAUGUUACCCUGGUUUAGGAGAUUUAUAAUGUAUUUGCUCUUAUGCACUCUAAUUCUUUCUUUAGGUACACCCUUUGGUGAUGAGUUUGGGGUUUAUUGUUGUCAUUGGAGAAGGUACGCAGGAUCUUUCACAUUGCACUACAUGUUACAAAAUUUCAAGAUUGUCGCGAGUUAAUUAACCCAUACAUAUUAUCAUGCUGUUUUUGUCUUGAAAAAUUUUGAUCUUUCUUAUCUUGGCGCAGCAAUAAUGGCGUAUAAAACGGUUCCGACUGAGAAGAAGGUGCGAAAAUUCAUCCACAUGAUGCUUCACUUCGUCGCACUAACUCUUGGGAUAUUCGGCAUCUACGCCGCCUUCAAAUACCACAAGGAGAGUGCCUCACCUGACAUGCUUAGCCUGCACUCUUGGCUGGGGAUCUGCACCAUCUGCUUGUUCGGCUUGCAGGUUCUUAUAACCUCACUCUUUAUUUUGCGCUUUAUUUUCUCUAUUAUUUCGAGGUUUUAGUAUUGACAAAAAGAUUCAAAAUGGUUUAUAGUUCACCUAAGUUUAUGUAUGACCGGAUUUGAGUGAUUCAAUUGUAUCGAUUGUUAGCUCAUAGUAUAGAUUGCUCUAUUAAGACAACUUUCCACUAUUUUGAACUUAACUAGCCAAUAGUAAGUUGUUGCUAUAUUGGAACCUACUGGAGAAAACUAAUUAAGGCCUGUUUGGCCCAAUAAGUGCUUUUCUCAACAGCUGCACCAUGUAAUAGAAUGGAAAUUCCCCAACUUUUUAAUUCUCAAAGGAGCACUUUUAUGCUUGGCUAAAGAAUUGUUAGUGCUGGAACAGUAAUGGAUAAAUUUAAUAGGAACAAUAUAGUCCAAUAAAUUAAAAUUUUCAAUAGUGUUUGACUAGAAAUGUAACACUCUAAUAGUCAUAAUCAAACGGAAAAAAAGUUCUAAUUGGAAAUAUAAAAGACUAUGCACUUUAGCAAUAAUAACUGGGACCGGUGGUUUAGACCUGACGAGUUAUUAUUAUUAGCGAUUCAGGUUAUUUAUAUUUGGUAUGAAAACCGAAUACUAAUCAAAAUUGUAAGAGCUAAAUGCUAUACGAGGUAAACUACUACAUCAUUGAUUUGGCCCUCUGGUGGGAGCCACCUCUUUAACGCGUGGUAAUUCUUGGUUGACUGAUAUGUAGUCUAACCCCCAUAAUAUUCUGCUAUUUCCAAGGCUAGAUUUUUUUUUUUUCUUGCAAAAUAUUUCACUGCUAUUUUCCAAUGUAGAUAAGUAGAAGGCAAUGCCAAGUAGGGUUGUAUAUAAAUGUUUUAUAGUAGUGAAAUUUUAGCUUAAAUAUCUUAAAAUUAAGAUGUAAACAACUGAAUGUGAUCAAGAACAUCUUAAGCAUACUCACAUAGUUUUACAAAAAUUGAAAAAUGUAUUUCCCAAGCAUAAAAUUGUAUUAAAAUCAACAAAUUAUAACUUUCAAAAAAAUUCCAAAGUUGAAUGCUUCAGAUAAAGGUUUCAGUAAUUAUAAUUUUUUUCACGUAGGUUUUCUUAAUAUAUAUUGCAGAUCAUAUUUUACCUUUCUGAUCUUCAAAUUUGAGGCUCCCAUGAUUGAAUUUCUACUGACGUAAAGAAGGGUGUAACUUAAAUAUUUAACUUGAUCCCAACAUAUGUACAUGCACCUUAAUUAUACUAUUAGACUCCAUUUGGUUCGGGAAUUAGUAGGAACUAGUUAUACCGGAGAUAGCUACAAAUAUGGAUUUUUGUAAGAACAAGAAUAUUUUUUUGUUUGGAUGAAAAUAUAAAUAUAAACUGGAACUAGAAAAAUUAUGUUUGGAUGGUUGUUGGGAAUAAAAGAAAUAGUUGAUGGUUAUAAAUAGAAAAUAAUAAUAUUAUCCCUCUCAUUUUAUUUGAAUUUAAAUUUUAAAAAUUAAAAUUUUAAACUUUAAAUUUUAAAUUUUAACUUUUAAAUUUUAAAUUUUGUCAAAAUUUUAAUUUUAAAUAUCAAAUUUUAAAUUUAAGACCAAAUUUAAAUUUAAAAGAUAUAAAAUAUCAAAUUUAAAAUUUAAAAAUUAAAAAUAUCAAAUUUAAAAUUUAAACUUUAAAAUUUAUAAUUUUGAGAUUAUAAAUUUUAAUUUUUAUAAAUUUAAAUUAUAAUUUAAAAUAAAUCUCUCUCUCUCUCUCUCUCUCUCUCUCUCUCUCUCUCUCUCUCGGGAACAACUUGUUCCCACCCCUCCCAUUCUUGUUUGGAUUAAAAAUGAUCAAUAAUUAUUGCUUGAAGGUAUAUACAAUGUUUUAAAAACUGAGUCAAAUAGUGACUCAAAAAUAUUACUGGGUCAAGGAUCACAAUUUCAAAAAGUGUUUAAUUUUUAUAAAUUUAAAUUAUAAUUUAAAAUAAAUCUCUCUCUCUCUCUCUCUCUCUCUCUCUCUCUCUCUCUCUCUCUCUCUCUCUCUCUCGGGAACAACUUGUUCCCACCCCUCCCAUUCUUGUUUGGAUUAAAAAUGAUCAAUAAUUAUUGCUUGAAGGUAUAUACAAUGUUUUAAAAACUGAGUCAAAUAGUGACUCAAAAAUAUUACUGGGUCAAGGAUCACAAUUUCAAGAAGUGUUCAACCAUUGACUGACCAACUGACGUUAGUAUGACAUCAUAAAUAUUUUACUUAUUAUUUUAAAUUUAUUAUGUAUAAAAAUAUACAUAUAUUAUUAUUCAAGUACCAUAUUUAAUUAUAAAAUACUAAUUUAUAAAUCAAAUUAGGUAGAUAUAAGUUUUCAAGUUUCAUAUUUUAAAUGACUAAUUCAUACUUAAUAGAAAAUAAAAUUAGGCCAAUUUGCAUAAAAUAUCCAUUAGUUUUGAGCUUUUACAAAAGUAGACCCUCUUUUUGAAUUUUAUAGAUUCGGAUUUUUAAAAAAUUGAACAAAAUACUUUUAUUCCCUUUUCUCUCUUCUUUUUUGAUCUCUCAUUCUUUUAUUUUCUUACACUCCGAAGAGGGUGGCGAAGGCGGAGGCGAAGGUGGCUUGCCUCGCCUCUGUUCCGCGCAUCCUCACCCUUGCCGUGCACCCUCCCUCCGCCUUCCUCGCCUCCAACCCCGUCGAGGCGGCACCUCGGCCGUCGUUUUUUUUUUCUCUCCGGCUCUCCUCCACCACCUCCUCGGCUUUUUAUAACAGUAAAGAUGACAGCGUCACAUCCUCUUCCUCUCUUUAUUUUUCUCUCGUUCUUUUUUUUUUUUCUCUUCGACCCCAAUCUACCACCUUCGCGACCUUUCACAACGGUAAUGAGGACAGCGCUAUAUCGUCUUCUUCCGCCUUUGCCGGCGUAGGCACCGAGAUCGGUGUCGGAGAAAGAGGACUCAGAGCGAGUGCGGGUGAGAGCGAAGGCAAAGAAAAAAUAUGCAAAAGAUAAAAAAAAUAAAAAAAUAUAAAGAAAUUAUUCUUUUCUAAAAAAAUUAAAAAUCAGAAAAAAAAAAAAGAAGACAAUAAAUUUACACUAUUUCAAAAAAAAGAAAAUAAUAAAUUUAUACUAUUUUAGAAAAAAUAUUAUAUUAUUUUAGCAGAACGUUGUAUUAUUUUAGAAAAAAAUUACAUUAAAAACAAAAUAUAUUCUUUUAGAUAAAAAUUAUACUAUUUACAUAAAAAUUAUAUUAUUUCUCCUUCUCCUCCACCUGCUCUUCUUCCUGGCCAAAUAGUGCAAAAAUUGUCUUCUUUUUUUUUCUUUUUUCUUUUUUUUAUAAUAAUGUUUUGAAGUGUUUGGUGCAGUGGUUGUUUGGGUUCUUCUACUUUUGGCUUCCGCGAGGUCCGGCGGUGAACCGGGCGAUGGUGAAGCCGCUGCACGCCUCCGCCGGCCUUGCGAUCUUCCUGAUGGCGAUCUGCACUGCGGAGACCGGCUUGGUCGACAAGGGCGGGCUGACGGUCUCCGAGACGCAGCUGAUCAACUUCACCGGCCUCUUCAUCCUCCUCUUCGGCGUCGCCGUCAGCAUCGUCGUCGCCCUGCCCAAGAUCGUAUAGCUGGCCUCUACCAAAUCUUCAGCAGAUUCCAUUAGCUAGUAUUGUUUCAAACCUUUUGAAACCCAAGUUGCAGAUUUAGCUUGGUGAGAUAUAUAUGGGAUGUGUUCGCAUCAAAUUUUAAUUACGCCGAUUGUGAAAUCUUCAAUUCCUUCUCUUACGCUGUAAAUUAUGGGAUAAAAAGACAUUGAAAAUUAAUUACAUUUUUUAUUGGAACUUGUUCCAUGUGCUAGCAAUAAAUAAUAUUAACGAGCAAAAAAAAAAAAAAGCGAAAAAUAAUAAUAAAAAAAAACACAAAAAAGGGACAACGUUUUAUAUGAUUCAGCAAGUUGCCUGUGUCUACAGAGAAAGCAAGAAUGAUGUAUUCUUUAUACGAAGACAAUCAAAAUACAAGCACAUAUCUUUAUGUUUCUCUCAAUCUAAUGUACUAGCCUUAUGAUUACUACCAUCCUUCUUUUGUUAUAAGAAAAAAUUCUCACCUUAAUCUCAAAUAAAUUUUUUUUUCUUAAAAUAGAGAGAAGCUCAAUAAACUACUAAUUAACUUUUCAGACUUCUCCUAACACCUCACUUAAUUUACUCGUUUCUUAUUGCUUGUUCUCAGAUGGAAUUGGAAUUGUUUCUUAUUGCUUGUUCUCAGAUAGAAUUGGAACUCUUUCAUAGGCAUGCAUGUAGUUGCACAAUUGAAGUUGGCAACUUCAAUUAUUAAUUUUUCUUAAUUAGCUUAUGUAUAGGCUUUUUUUGGCAAUCAUGGCAGCAUGUGUGUUUCAUGCAUACAUACAUAAAACACAAGCAUACUUUACCGUCUAAUGAAAGCCAUUCUAUUCACACUUUAAAUAUUUUGGUAGAUCCAGUGUAUCUUAAACCAACUUUCAUAUCCAUAUCUUUUUUGCUUAUUAGUCCAAAAAAUCUAUGGGUCAAACAAAUAUCUUUAUGCCCUAUACAAAAGAAGACAUAUAAUCAACAAUAAUCAUAUUUGGCUAAUUGCUCUACAAAAAAUAUUAAGUACAAUAGGAAAUCAAAUGAAUUAAACAACAAAGGGAGAAGCAAAGUAAAACACAUAAAUAUUUACAUUGUGAAAUCCCAAAAUCACGCCCAUACAGGUGGAAAAAAAAAGAAAAAAAAAAGAAAAGAGGAUUCCAAGAUAAAGUUUCACCAGAGAGCUUCUCUUAAUUAAAUCUAGGGGCAAUUGCUUAUAUAUUCCUGAAAAGUUCUCGACUUUCUAAUUUACCCUUCUUUGAAGGCUAAUAAUGAAAAUGUUAUUUUUACAUUCCAACCUAUUUCUAAUAUACCCCUAGAGUUAAAAUCUGUUAAUGAACUCCGUUAUCUCUAUGAAAUUAUAAUUUUGCCCUUUCAAAUAUACCCUUCUAUCAUCAUUGAUUUUUCUUAUCUAUUCUUAAGUUAGGGGCACAAAAAGUAUUUUGUUUUUUGGUCUUGUAAAAUAUACCCUUCUAUCAUCACUAACAUUUCUUAUUUGCCAUUAAGUUAAGGGCAAAAGUGGUAUUUUAAUUUUUUUUAAUUGUGGUAGAUAUUUAAUCCACGUUUAACCCAAGUUAACUUAACAUGUGGUAACUGCAGGGGUAUUUUGGAAUAACAGAGGAACAUAUGAGUGGUAUAUUGGAAAGAAAAAAAAAAAAAAAAGUAAGGAAAAAUGAGAUAUUUCGAAGUUUUGAGGGGUAUAUAGGCAACUAUCCCUUAAAUCUAUGUGGUGGUGCAAUGCAUUAGCUAUUGCAUGGUUGUCAAUAUAAGUUUAAUUAGAACUUUAGUUCAAUUAGACUCCUAAUUAAAUUCUACUUAUUUCUAAUAAAUUUUAAAUCUUAUCUUAUUCUAACUUAAUUUGAAUUUAAUUCCGACCUAAAUAAUUAUAAAUCUAAUCAAAAUCUAUCAAUCUUCAUCAUGGUUUGAUUUGUAGUCUUCAAUCACAAUGCUGAGCUUACAACACAAACUCCAUCUUAACUAGAGUUUUCCAUCUUUUCUACUAAAACCCCGAAAAUGGUCGUCAAGUGUUGCUGCACAUUUCAUCUAUGCCGAUGCAAUGUUUGAACGUAUCAAUGAAAGAGGUUUAGUCAAUAUAUCUGUUAGAUUAUCUAUAGUACCAAUCUUGAUCGUGACAAGAUCACCUGUGCUAUUACAUCAUGAAUAAAACGAUAAUGAACACCUAUAUAUUUUCUUAUCUUAUAAAUUAUUUGAUCUUUACAAAAAAAAAAAAAUACAGCACUCUGGCGAUCACAAUGGACGAUAGUAGUCUCUUGACUAGAAAUAAGCUCCCAUAUAUGUCUCUUAAUCAAAUAGCUUUUUUCACAACCUCCGUCAUAAUAAUAUACUCUUCUUCAGUAGUGGAUAAAUUAGCACUAGCUUGCAAAGUAGCUUUUUAACUUACAGAACAACUACCUGAUGAGAAAUCACAUCCUACAAGUGAUCUCUAUUUGUCCAAAUUACCUACGAAAUCUAAAUCAAUAAAACCAACUAACGAGUCAUCAGAUCUCUCAAAAUCCAGGCAUACAUAAAAAAUUCUGCUUAAGUAUCUAAAAAAAAAAAUCACUUUACCACCGUCAAUUUGACUUAUUAAGAUUAGCCAUAUAUUUACUCACAAUACUGACAGCAUGUAAAUUAAGUAUCUAGAUAAAUGCAGACCAUCACAUACAUAAGAAUUCCAACUGCACUAGACUAAGGAACAUUUAGCAUAUACUUCUAAUCCUCAAUCGAUUGUGGCAACAAAGCAAUUAAAAAUAUAAAAUGAGAAGUAAGCGGAGUACUCAUGGUUUUUAGCAUUUUUAAUUCUAAAAAACUCAAAAUCUUUCUCAAUAUAAAUUUUCUGAGUCAAAUACAAUCUCCCUGAAGAAUCUUCUUAACUGCUCUCAUGUUUUUCAUUUCAAAUUCGUGACUUAACAAAGCUUUCAACAUAUAAUUCAGAAAUAUCUUCGAAAGCAAUAAGUAUAUCGUCAGCAUAAAGUAAUAAAUAAUUAAAAACUUCAUUGCCAAUCUUUCUAAAAUAAGGGCUUGUUUGGUUCAAGGGUGUGGAAUUGGAAUGGAUAAUGGAAUGGGAAUGAAUUGAAAUGGUAAUUAGAAUGACCCACUCUCCCAAAACGUUUGGUUUAUUUGUGAAUUGGGAAUUAGAAUGAGUUAUUCAAAUUUUAUUGUUUGGUUCAGGUAAACUAAAAAAAUUAUAGAAUACUAUAAUACUAAUUUUACUCUCAAAUAUAAAUUUAUAUUAUUUAAAAUUUAUAAAAAAUAUAAUACUAUUCUCUAAUAAGUUUUCCAAAAAAAAUAUCAAAUUUAUUUUUAAAAAUUUUUAUUGAUGUGGGUUAGGGAUAGGGUUUUGAGAGAGGAUAGGUUUUUUUUUUUUUUGAUGAGAAAGGGGUGAAGAGAAAGAGGGUGAGAUGGUCACAUGGGCUUUGCGCUUCCGGAAUGAAAUCUCAAUCCGGGCUAGAAGAUCGGAAUCAAGUUGAAGGCUAAUGGGCUAUUCCCAUUCCAGUCCAGAAUAGAAAUCCCAAACCGAUUCAUGCAAACCAAACAAAAUUAACCGAAUUUGAUCAAACCGAUUCCCAUUCCAUACCCAAAAUAGAUGAACCAAACAAGCCCUAAAUGUAACUGUCAUGCUUAAUCCUUUCGGUGAGGCGAGUGGUUGCAGCCAAGGCAUCACAGAGUAACUAGAUCAUUGUGAGCCGGUCCAGUGAGAGUUACCCAUUAUGGUUAAGUAAAACUAGGUACUACUUUGGAAAAAAUAAAUGUUGUAAAACUUUAGGAGAAAAACUAUGGUUUUAAAUUUAAUAGUGUUACUUUUAGGGCCUUUCUGGAUGCACCAUAAAAUAUCUCCAUAAAAUUUAUAAACUGUGAUUUUGGUACAAAUGAAAUAGAAAAUUCUGAAACAUAUAUUACAAAAUUCUACCGCUUCAACUUUUAAACUAUUUGGAUGCACAUUGUGGAACUCUAUGGGAGAUUUCUUUAAAUUUUAAAACUAAAAGUUUCAAUUUUAAAUUCUAAAAUAUUAAAUUUUAAAUUUGAAAUAUGAAAUAAAAUCUAAAUUUAAAUUUCAAAUUUUGAAAUCUAAAAUUUAAAAUUCAAAAUUUUUGAAUUAAUAUUUUAAAUUUUAAAAUUAAAAUUUAAAAUUCUAAAACCAAAAUUUUUUAUUUUCAAAUUAAAUAUGAAAAUUUUAGAAUUAAAAUUUUUAAUUUUAAAGUUUAAAUGUUAAAUUUUAAACUUGAAAUUUUAAAGUUUAACUUUUAAAAUUUUAAAGUGUAAAAAUUUGAAAGUCAAUAUUAUAUAAUUUAAAUUUUGAAAUUUAAAAUUUAAAAUUUUGAGUUUUGAAAUUUGAAAUUUUGAAAUUUGAAAUUUAAAAUUAUAAAAUUUAGAAUUUUGAUAUCCACAAUUUAAAAUUUACAUUAUAAAAUUUAAAAGAAAUUUAAAAUUUGAAAAAUUUUGAGUUUUGAAAUUUGAAACUUUGAAAUUUGAAAUUUAAAAUUAUAAAAUUUAGAAUUUUGAUAUCUCCAAUUUAAAAUUUAAAAUUUUGAAAUUUAAAGUUUAAAAUUUGAUACAUCAUUGGAGUGAGGGAGCUCAAAAAUGGUGGAUUUUUUUUUCUUUCGUUGGAGUAAAUUGUUAUUUCACUCCAUUCUUUAGAGUAUGGUUUAACUAUACUUCAAAAAUAUAUGCUCUUUUUUAUCUGUCAAAUACUUUGUCGGAUAAUAUUUCUAUCGGUAUAGCAUAAUUUAACUAUGCUACGUUUUAAGAUCCAAACGAGGUCUUAUGCUUUAUAUAUACAUGCGAUAUACUGGACCUUAACAAAUAGGCAACACUGCAGUAUGAAUUUUUCGUCAGCAUUUCUUUUUAUAGUGUUUGACUGAGUUGAAAAUAUUUUGACACAAAAUAGAUGCAAAAACGAACUAAAAAUCCAACAUUUAGCUUGUAAGGGACUAAAAUUAAAAUAUUUGAUUUUGAUGGACCUUUUUGCAUUUUUUGCAUUCUAUGCAUGGAAGCCACGUAGGUUCCAUGCAUAGCCUUAGCUUUAUCACCUUCUAUAAGAGAGAGAGAGAGAGAGAGAGAGAGAGAGAGAGAGAGAUUAGUUGGUUAAGAGAAAAAAAAAAAAGAGUAGCUAGCAAGGUUGGUUUUCUUUAGUAGCGAGCGAGUCGAGGGCGCACACGUGCGUUUAUUGGUGUUUCGACGUCAGGUUAGUAUCAUAAUAUUAUUAUCUUUUUAUUUAGACUCUUUUGAUGAAUUUUUGUAGAAAUUGAGAGUUAGAAAUUGAUUUCUAUGUGUUCUAGGAGCUAAUUUCGCAUAAUUUCUGACGAGAGAUUUUUCGAGCCACUCUAGGCCGUUGUGGCUACCGUUCAAACUAGAAGGGCAAUAGUGGAUCACCUCGCUAUCUGUCACGCCCCGGGGCCCAGCGGAAGUCCGCCCGGCACGUGUCCAGAUCUGCCAUAUGUCUAGAACAUAUAAGGCGUCUACGAAAAAGCAGUAAAUAAAAUAAUAAUACAAGAGAUCUAGCGAUAUCAGAGCAAAGUACUACUAGAUUCUACGACGGGAGAGUAAUCAUGCAACUAUAAAUCCAUAAAGUGAAACCAUAAAGUAGUAUAAAGAAAACCCAAAUACAAGUGCUAAAAGAGUACAUAGGUGGUCUCUAUACAUGGUACAAGAAUCUCUCUCUCACUACGACAAAAGAAAGAGUAACCACCUAAGCUCAAAAGUAGCUCCUCUCUGUCUAGCUAGGCGACACCCCUGCCGCGAUCCCGUGCCUCCGCCGGUGCCGAAGGCUCUGAAAGGAAACAUAAAGCAGAGGGCGUGAGAACUAUUAAAUAAUAGUUCCCAGUGGGUAAUUACUGACUUCAGUGAAAUGCGCCACUAGGCCCAACAAUUAAAAAGGGGUAAGUGUAAAUGUAAGCAAUAUGAACAACUAGUAAGUAAGCAUGGAAAUUUACUACAAUAUGAUGUCUCUACUUAGUAUGAAAUUGCAUAAGUAAUAAAGCUACUGUAACAUGAAUGUAAACGAGCAUCACUAACAUAAUAUCCACAAGCUAAAUAGUAAAUGUCAUUAUUUACUAUUCUAGUCAAAGUCCAAAUGGCAUAUUCUGUCACUAAGUUUCAAUCAUGUAAGACCCACCCGUAGGCUGUCUGGCCUGCGCCGUGCCUAAUUGCCCCGUGGUAGUCAACACCCCCACUCUAGGAAUGAGCCUCCCCCACGGCAUCCCAUUUCGGCGCCCAAUCCCGCACGAGCGAGCAUAUGUCGCGGUGGCUAUCUCCGGAGUGCCGGCUUGUAGGGAGCGACUCUCACAAGCAUGUGCAAAUGAGCACAAUGGCAAGCAAGCGAAAAAUCUGUCUCAAGUACCAAGUCCUCAUAUCUAAAAACAUGGAAUAUAUCAAGAAUCUCGAUGGCCUACCACUACGUCGUCAUGUCUAAAACACGGAAUAAUAGGGGAUGUCAGAAUGGCCUAUCACUAUGUCUCUAAGUUGCAGUUUCACAGUUUUCUAAGUCAGGUGCCCCUUUAUGGCACUUUGUCCACUAAGUCAAGUAUGGUGAUUAUGUUCAAGAGUACAAAAUUCUAAACAUUUUCCUCAUAAGAGACAUAUUCCCAAACUUGCAAUAAGAGUACUUAACACAUGCAUAGAUACUACACAUAAGGCUCUACACAUAAAGUGAAAUAUUCAUGAUACAUACUGCAUGCAUUCUAAGCAUUCAAAAAUUCACAUAAAUCCUAUCUAGGAUAAAAAUGCAUAAACCAUGAUGAUACGAAAGCGCUCCUGCAGCGCACUCUCCAGCUCUCACGUGGCUUCCCGCUCCCUGUGGUUGCUCCAAAGGACCUUUACAUACGAAAUGUCCCGAUUCCGUAAUUUCUUUACCUCGCGAGCCAAGAUCUUCACUGGUUGCUCCUCGAAGCUCAAAUCGUCCCGCAACUCCAAGGGUGUAGCAUCUAACACAUGAGUCGGGUCGAAGACGUACUUCCGAAGGACCGAUACAUGGAAGACGUUGUGUACCCCCGAAAAGUUCGGUGGUAGAGCAAGUCGAUACGCUACCGGACCUACACGUUCCAAAAUCUCGUACGGUCCAAUGAAACAGGGGCUCAACUUACCCCGAAUCCCAAAUCUCCUGAUCCCUUUAGUCGGCGAGACCUUCAAGAAAACAUGGUCUCCAACUUGGGACUCCAAGUCUCGCCGUCGUCGGUCAGCGUAGCUCCUCUGUCUACUCUGUGCCGUCAUAAGUCGCUCCCGAGCAAUACGAACCUUGUCCUCAGCUUCCUGGAGCACGUCAGGGCCUAAAACCAAUCUCUCGCCAACUUCACUCCAAUGAAGUGGCGAUCUACACUUCCGUCGAUAAAAUGUCUCGAAGGGUGCCAUCUUGAUACUUGCUUGAUAACUAUUGUUAUAAGCAAACUCCGCUAUCGGUAGAUGCUGCGACCAUCCUCCCUGGAAGUCAAUCUGUAGUAUCCUUGUUUUAUUUAUUAAUUAAUUAAAUUAUUUAUGUUUUAUGUCGGUUGGUGCUAAGUGGGGUGGCUUGGAUGCCACGUCCACCCAUGCAUGCAAAUUAGGGUGGCUUGGAUGCCGCGUGCACCCUUUGCAUGCUUAUCAACAAAUUAGGUGGGGAUUGCCUAAUCUUUCUACUUCUCUCUUUGUUCAACCGAAGCAAAGAGCUCGGAGGAGGUAGUCGCGAGCACGAGUUCGACGCCGACGACGCGCCGCGAAGCCGUUCGAGGGUACGGUUGGGAUCGUAGCGUUGCGAGGAAACUAGGCGAGGAUGCGUUUUCGCCGUUCUCGACGCCGCGUCGAUGUCCGAUUAGCCUUUGAGGUGAGUGUUCCCAUUGCACUGCUCCAAUAUUAUAUCUAUCGAGCUUGGUGUGAUUUGCAGAAUUUUCCAGCGGCGACCGUCGGGUAUUUCAGUUCUGUACUCGGCGGAUAGAGCGAUCGGUUUUCGACGGCGACUUUGAUUUGUUGAUUCGGACUUCGAGGAGGAAUCCACGAACCCUUACAUGCUAUUGAUAAAGUUUGCUUAGUCAAUUUCGCUCUUCUAUGAUUGCUUUUGAGCAGAAAUAAUGCUUUUGUCCGGAUCUCUCCCGAUGUAGAGUUGCACAGCGCACCACCAAAACCCAGAGCUGACUUCCGAGCCUGGAGAGCGUUUUCGAGACGUUUCGCAGGUUUUCCCAGCCGACGGCCCCACAUUCCUGUCCAGGAUUACCGCGACGAGGUGCUUAAUCGUUCUAUCCUAAGUAUAGCAUUAGUCGAAUGUAAUGAUAUUUAGUUGUAUAAAUAUGUUGGUGUAGCUCCUAUCUCAUGGAUUAUAUCUUGAUAAUACAUUUAGAACAUGAUUAAUAAACAUGAAUCUUAUCAUGUUGACUUUGGAUUUAACUUAAGAGAAAACGCUUAAGAUAACGAUCGGCUAUGUUAAUACCUGAUCUAGCCCUAGGGACGUGCGUAUGAUUUAUACAGUUCUAAUAUCAUCAUAUGAUAUGCCAGGUAUUUAGAUUUUAUUCACUCGUGCUGCGAGAUGCCAGUACUAUUUUUACAGUAGCGUCAGCCUGGUUCCGGACUUGUUGGGCCUCACGGGUGUUGGGCGCGGAGUUGCCGUGUCGGAGCCGCCGUCGUCGUACGGUGACCCUGGGUUCGCGUUUUGGAUCCGGUGCGCGUAAGAUUGUGCCGAAGCCGGUUAUUAGUUGGUUGUUAGACCAGGAGUGUCGGUUACUUGACUUUUGGUCUGUUUGAAGCCUGUUUGAGCACAAUCGACUACAGAACCGGCUGCUAUUCUCGGUGGUAGCCUCCACGUAUGCCACUCACGGAGGCGGCUCACUUUUUGCGUUAAGGCUUCGUCGCCGGUCUGCGACUUGCUCUCCACGGACCAAGUAAGGUUGUGAGGUACGGAUGUGUCAGCAACUAUGGCGCAGGCGAGGGUGUUCACUAGACCCAGGGCGGAUUCUGUACAGUCCGAUUGGAUGGAGUACAGAUUUGACUGAUUUCUACAGUGGUUAGUUUAGAGUAUGAUAGUUGUAGUGAUUACUAUCGUAAGUUGCAUUCAUGAUUUACUACUAUCCUGCUCCCUUUCUGUAGAUGUAUCUGGGGUGACGAGGUUGUUUAGGCCGGCACCCUGAGAAUACCGUGUUUACAGUAUAGUUGCUUCGACGCCCAUGUGAUACCUCUGUUAUAUAGACCCCCAGGUUUCGGCUGCUGAUCAUCUUCCCGAACGAUCGACGGCGAUAGCACCCUAACUUACGACUCGCUGAAGUUAGCUCCACCUCUACCAAUAUAUAUAUAUAUNNNNNNNNNNNNNNNNNNNNNNNNNNNNNNNNNNNNNNNNNNNNNNNNNNNNNNNNNNNNNNNNNNNNNNNNNNNNNNNNNNNNNNNNNNNNNNNNNNNNCGAAGGUAAGGAUAGAUAGAAGAAAAUAAGAUUAACACGACGCUAAAACUGGCCUACACCUUGAGUGGUAAGGCUCUUGAAAAACAUCGAGAAAAAGAGGGUGAGAACUACUAUUCUACUCAGUUCAGUGGCAAUUAACUGCAACCAGUCACUCCACUAGCCACAAAAUCACAGGCUACACGACGAUACAAUAAUCGCACUAAGCAUAAGGAGGUCGUAAAAUAACUCGCUGAAAGCAAAGCACAAUAGGACACUCGCUCAAUCCUACUCGCCCUCAAGUAAACACUGAAUGUCAACCAAAAUGUACUCUAUUCUACUCCUUCACAAUUAGUCCACUUCGCGCCACUAGUUUAAUGUUGUUCUAAUUUACUCAUAUAUCGACUGGUACGCGUGUUCUGUCACGUGCGAACCAAGUAUACCUACAUGCUCACCUAUGCUCCAAAAGCAUAUAAAUGUACAUCCACUACUAUAAGUUAUCAAGUAGUGAUCAUCUCACACUCAAAACGUCGUCGAUUUCAUUUCCAAUUUAGGAUACAAGGUAGUCAGCUUGCCGCCUAAGUGCCCUGUGGUAGCCAACUUACUCUUGGCAAUGUGUCUGUCAACUCCGACCGUAGCUUCUCAAUAGCCCGAGCGAACAUGGAGGUCGCAUAGGCACUCCGGAGUGCGGCUUGUAGACUAAAGCUGACAGCGAAGAGCAUUAACGAGAAGUAUACUACCCAUCUAAUAACAUGCAAACAUUAACCUACGGAGCAAAAGGGCAAACUCACUAGCUAAAUCUCCCCAAGCUCCGAAAAAGAGCUAGAACCUCUAAUCCAAGUCUAGGAGUUUCAAAACCAAUCAAUAAGCCUCAAAAGCCUAUUUAUCAAAAAGCCCCAAAACAACCCUAAAUCUCAUUUCUAGGGUUAAAACAAGCAAAGCUCAAUAGAUCUAGAGGAGGAACUUGCCACAAACCUUCUCGAUAGCUCCAAACCAAGCUCAAAACUUCUAGGGUUUGAAGAUUGAUCCACACAAGGCCUCCAAAAGCAAGUCCACAGCCUCCCAAAGGUUGGUAACAAGGAAAGAAUGGUGCUCCAGCAAAGCUCCUCUCCUUCUUCUUCUUCUCCUUCUCGCUCUCUUCUUCUCUCUCUAGAAUGCAAAGGGUUGAGAGAAAGGAUGAGAGCUGAGCGAGCACGAGGAGAGGCUGCCUGAUAGCCUCUAAGGUCAACAACAAUCCAGUUAGGUCAAAAACCCAAAAUUGCAACAGCCGGUCUGCAGUAUUUCGCCUAAGGAGACGACCGGUUCAUACUCCAGCGGGACCGUUCUCCGCUGCGAACCCCGAAAAAUCAGGCGUUUUCGGACCGGUACUCCAUUCCUGCACAACACCCGGAGCAGGCGCGGGACGGUCCUCGCUCUGCGCCCGCGACGCGUUGGAUUACGGUCCCUCACGCAUGACAGGGAACGGUUGCAAUCAGGCUACUCACACUGCUCAUUGAGGGGACCGGUCUCUCUCCUUCCAGGGAACCGGUCCCCGAGAGUAAAAACUCUCAUGCCUUGUCCAAAGUUCCCAGAUUCGCAACUUUUCGGGUCGGGAACAUUUUACAACCUCCACAACUGUGGGAAAAGCUCCGAAAUAACCACCAAAACAACUCGGCAACCGCUCCGCAAUUUGCCAAGGGUCAGUGUGUAAUCACAUCACUAGUGAACUCAAUCCUGUGGAAGCUCGCCGUAGGUUAGUCGGCCUGGCGCGGUCCAACACAAUGGGCCUUGUGGUAGUCCAACAUCCCCACUGUCAGCCCCCGAGCCCGCCUCUUUAGAUACAGGAUUCGGGCAAACGGCAACAGACCGCCGAACGGAGACAGGGUUUUCCCACUGCACAGCGGACCAGAGUUCCCUGGUACGUUCAACAGGCGGUACCGCAAUCAAUACAAGUACAAGAGGUUCCAAACCAGGAACAAUCUUUCAACAACGAUUGCGAUAAGAAGGUAUCAAUCAACUAACACAUCCUAUGUUAAAUUACAAUCAUUCCUACAUCAAAAUCAUUUUACAUCGCAUUUGUUUCAUUACAUUGAUUCCUCAACAACUUCCAAUACUACAAUCGAUUUCUAAACAUAAUAUUACAACAUCAAUUGUUUUUUCUUUUUCUUUUCGUUAUUACCCCUAAGAAGCCGACUCCAGGGGUGCUUGCUAUCGUGGUCUCCUGUGGUAGGGCAACUAACUAGCGGAGCUACGCCUUUCCUCGCGCCGCCCGCUGCCUCCGCGUGUGAACCUUACCCCAAAUGCCGGCCGUGUACCCCCAAAAACCAACAACACGGGGGCUGAGACUAUUGUCCAUAGUCCCCGUCAGGUGGGUACAGCCACCCAAACUGAAAAGCUCAACCCACCAGGUCCAAAGGAGGCACUGCAAAAAUGUUAAGUCCAACAGAUAUAUAGUAGCUAUCCACACAUAACACUGGCAUUAACUGUUCAUGCCCUCACAAUAUAUGCCAAAUUAUGCGCAACUCUUAGUCAUUCUUUACCAUUCAGCCUUCUCUUUAGAAUUUGCUGAUUCUUUAUCCAUUAGCCAUUCUUUACUCCUUUCAUUCUUUUCAUAUAUUAUCAUUUAUUCUUUUAAUAUUUAUAUACACUAUAUAUGAGAGAGCACUACAGCCUUAGGCGAAUUUACCUUAUGCCAUUCUUAUAAAAUUAAAAGAUCUAUCAAAUCAUUAUCACUCUUGUUCCUAGGUUAACAUUACCUUAGCCAACUAAAUGCCAACUCGCUCGUAUUGAUCUCAUAAAAACAUACACAUUUCUAUUAUAGAAUAUACUUUACAACACGAUAGGUUUCGCCACAUUAAACUGCUUCACAUUAUAAAAUCCAGUACAUCAAUAGGAACAUCACCGCUCACAGGAACCGUCCUUACGGGUCUACUCCAACCCCGGAUGCCAACAACUCCGGAGCGCAUCGCCCGAGGGGGAGCGACUGCCCUCCGAGCCACGGAACUCAUAGCCAAGCUAUGAGUCAAAUCUUAACUUCCUAAGAAUUGUAGAGUUGGAUCAUGGUUUUUUACCAACUAACUCUAGUGGUUCUUUACAUCACUUUAUGUCUGCCACCUACGCAACUCAUUUGUUCUUCUAACAUCUCUUUUUACUUUGCUAACCUCUACAAUCACGUUUUUCACAUUCCUUUACCUUUAAGCUUAUCUUUAGCUUUCACACUUCUUUAACUUUACACGUUUUUUAUGCCACAUUACAUUACAUUGUCUUUAGCCAUUAUCAAUUAUUCUUUUACAUCUACACUUGCUUUGCCUUGUCCUCAAGCCAUUAUCUUAGGUUCUUACAUUACAGUCAUCAUGCAUACACAUAAUUAUUUAGAUCUCCUUAAUCAUUCUAAUAAGCACGUGUACUCAACAUGCCCAAUGCAACAUUACAUUGAUUAUCAUCACAUUGUUUUACAUUAUCUUUAACCAUUAUCAGUUGUGUUCUUUUACAUCACAAUUUACUUCUUUGAUGUCAAACUAAAUCUAGUGGUCCACUUUACCAUUUCCGAUGCCACUCGAUCUAUGUUUCAACAUGCAUGAUAUUUUGUCAUCCCAUGGUUGGUAGUCAUUAUACUCUAGCAUUUUAUGCACUUCGUUAAACAUUUACUACAUGCAUUCUCGGUUAGUACAAAUCUCAUUACCUUAUCAUUUUGACAUCUUAUUUAGCAUUUCUGAUAAUAUGCACAUAUACAAUAAACAUCAACUCAAUCCAUUCAAUUUUUGGCAUCUAUCUUUACUCAUGCAUCUUUAAUUAGCAUACUUCUAUCAUGCAUUGAUCAAAUAGCAUACUUGUAAUCUUUAUCAUGCAUUCUAUAAAUAGAAUACUCUUAUCAUGCGUCAAUAGUAAACAUAGCUACACUUUUAGCAUCGGAAAGCCGACCCUAAUCGCUUCGGUGAGUCCAACACCACCCUCAUUUUUCGGCAUUCCCGAAUUGCUUGUCGACACCUUUGCAACUGGCCUCCCCGCGGCCACCCGUUUAACCCGGUUUGGCCCGAUCUCUUCACCCGCGACCACCCGAACGGCCUCCAAUUCACGAUCCGCAAAAUUAAAGGUCUUCCCGGUUAUGUGCCACGAAAGCUUUUCAAAUCCAUUUCUCAUGAAAUGUUACGAUAUCGCCUCGGCCCUCCCGGCGGACCCGAAGCCCUAAACGUCCGUUCUUUUAAAUAACUUUCGCAAACGGCUCGUCGGAACUUGCCGAAACGUCCUUCGCCAACUGCGUUCGUUUUUACUAGCAAAUUAGGUUUAUAUAGGGUCAAUUCAGAAUCAAAACAACCGUUACAUUUUACAGAAACCGCAUUCGGAGGCCCUAAUAUGCCUAUUAACGCUCAAAAUAAAAUCCAAAAAUUAAAAUGGAUCAACAUGGCUACACCAAAGCUCAUUAGGGCAUUUAAGUAAUACUUAAACGUUACAAGGAUUAAGCCAAAUCCCUAAAAGCUUACCUCAAUGUGAAACGCCGCCCGCGGACACAACACACUACCGCUCAACGGGCGCACGAAAGCUCAAUCCGCCCGCCUCGCAACCAGCGUUCGCAAGCAUAUUCUCCCAACCCCCCGCGAAUCUUUUGAGCGAGAAAGAUAUACGAGAAAUGAGAGAGAAAAUCUAGCAGAGGAGGAAUGAAGGUUUUUCUCCCCUCCCACUAGCCCACCAUGCGUGCGUGUGUGUGGUGCCUCGGGCUGAAGGAAGAGGCAGAAAGAAGCUUCAGCUUCUUUAUAAUACAACCGACACUAUUCCAACUCCAGGCAACUUCAAAUCUGAUAUCUCUUCGCCGGAGCUCCCUGUAUGCCGUCCUUGAAGCUCAAACUUGAACAGUCAGUUCGGUUUUACUUAACUUAAACAAGCUGGACGAUCACCUGGUCAGUUUCGACCGUUUGGUCACUGAAUAACUGUACGAAACUGCACAUAUUUACUCAGAUUAGCUUUCGGAUUCUGUAUUUCUCACUCCUACGGGUUCAGAAAAAUAUGAAAACCUUAAAUCUAGCCUCAUACAAAAUAUUUCUGACCCAUCUCCGCCGAAUUUUCAAAAUAAUUUCUCGGAAGACUGUGCAUCUUUCUGCUUAUUUUUCUGUCCCCCGUCUCGCAACAGAAAAAUUUUAUCAUCUUCUGUUUUCAAAUUCCGAUUUCAGCACAAGUCAAUCUGACUUAUGUUUUCAACUUCUCAAAAUUCAAUAAAAAUAGUAUUCCCACACUAUCUUUUUAUUUAUCUUUAUUUUCUUUACGCAAAGAUCUGGUAUACCGCAUUACACCCACUCUAGAAAUGAGCCUCCCCCACGGCAUUCCAUUUUGGCGCCUAAUCCCGCACUGGCGAGCAUGUGUCGCGAUGGCUAUCUCCGGAGUGCCGACUUGUAGGGAGCGACCCUUACAAGUAUGUGCGAAUGAGCACAAUGGCAUGCAAGCGAAUAAGUCCGUCUCAGGUCCCAGUGGUUCAUCACUGUUUCAUCGGAUCUAAAACUCGGAAUACAGCACAUGUCCCAAAGGCCUGCCUCUAUGUCAUCGUGUCUAACACACGGAAUAUAGUAACUGUCUCAAUGGCCUGUCUCUAUGUCAUCGUGUCUAAAACACGGAAUAUAGUAGAUUUCUAAUGGCCUAUCAUCAUGUCUCUAAGUUGCAGUUCAACAAUUUUCUAGUUCAAGUGCCCCUUUAUGACACUUUUGCUCACUAUGUCCCAAUAUGAAUAAUAAGUCUAAAGGCUUGUUGUUCUAAUCAUUUUCCACACGUGAAGCAUGAUCUUAUAUCAGUCAAUAGGACAUUAAACUCAUGCAUACUAACAAUGCAUAUACUUCUCUCUACAACAUAGAGUCAAUCUUUCAUGAUGCAUAACAUAGGGGUUUUAAGCACUCUAAAAUUCACAUAAAUUCCAUUUAACAUGAAUAUGCAUGUAUUUAUAGUAUACGAAAAUAUUUAACCACAUAGGAGGUAUUUCCUCCCAUUUCAAUGAAGCCAAACCCACCACAACUCUUACAACUCCUUCGUUUGCUCCGACGAAGGUAUCCACUAGUCUUCUAGCACCCUAGAGGUGUAGAAAUAAGAGUCAAAUGAACCUUACGAACAUCCCAAAGCUCAAACAUUAAGCAACUCAAGAAAAGGGUGAAAACUCACUGGAUGCGAAGGAAACUCUCUUGAUCUCCAAAUCGGAGCUAGAGUCCUUCAAGUCCAACCUAAAGAAAGGUUCUAAACCAAUCAAUUUGGUUCUUGAAGCCUCUAAUCAAAAAUCUCCAAUUCUAACCCUAAUAUCACAUUUCUAGGGUUUCAUCUAGUGAAAACUACCAAAACUUGAUCCAAGAGGGGGAUUAAGUAUACUAACCUCAUAAGAUGCUCAAAACUAAGCUCCAAGUCCUCUAGGAUUGAAGGUUGAUCCCCAAUCAAGCUCCAACCAAGAUCUCAAGCUUCUCUAAUGGUGGGAAACCCACAAAAAGCAAGAAGGAGAAGAAGAAAGAGAUCAAAACUAGCUAAAACCAAACAAAAAUGGAGAAGAAUCAAGGGAGAAGAGCUCACCUUUGUUCUCCACUGGUCUGGGGCUCAAAAGAGCCCCCCAAGGGCUGUGGUGGUGUUUAUAUAGAGAUGCAAGAAUUGCAAAAACACCCUUACCCGAAAAACUGCCCAUUCUGCACUGCGUACCGGUACACGGGUUUGUGUACCGGUACACAUCCCACGAACCAGUCCAACCUGAGCCUUGGGUUGGCGCACAGGCUACCAAAAUCGAUGGCUGUAUCGGUACAGCCAUCAACCUGUACAGGUACGCAGCCCUACCGAAAGCUACCCGAGAGCACACCAAUAAUCCAGCUUUUGGGUUUUGGUGCCAAGUUUUAAACAUCAAUUCUUGGGGCUCGAACCAUAGGUCGGAACACUGUCCACGACCCUCCACAAAGUGUGGAAAAGUUCGGAACACAAAUCAAACACUCGAACCUCGCUAUUUGCAAAGGUCCAGUGUGUUACACUACAAUAAGGGAAAAGAAUAUAAUGCUAAAUCCACUAUGUAAAAACAUAAAGUAAUACAACGGAUGUCCCAAAAUAAGUGCUAGAAAGGUACAUAGGUGGUCUCUCUAUACAUGGUGCAAAAUCUCUCUCUCUCUCUCUAAUACAAUAAAAGAAAGAGUAAAUCACCUAAGCUCAAAAGUAGCUCCUCUGUAUCUAGCUAGGCGACACCCUUGCCGCGAUCUCGUGCCUCCGCCGGUGCCGAAGGCUCUGAAAUAAAACCACAAAACAGGAGACGUGAGAACUAUUAAAUAAUAGUUCCCAGUGGGCAAUUACUGAUUUCAGUGAAAUGCACCACUAGGCCCAAAAAGCUAGAAAGGGGGUCAGUGUAUAAGUAUAGACAAAAGCAAUAAAUACAGCUAAUAAAUAAACAUGAAUACCUGCUACCACAAGAUAUUUCUACUUAGCAUGAUUUUGCUCAAGUAAUAAAAGGCUACACUAGCAUAAAUGUACGAAAGUAUCACUAGUAUGAUGUCCACAAGCUAAAUAGUAAAGAUGUCAUUUUUACUAUUCUAGUCAAUGUCCACAUGGCAUGAUGAAUGCUCAAAGUCAAAUCUGAAGAGACCCGCCCGAAGGCUGUCGGGCCCUGAGACCCACCGGUAGGCUGUCUGGCCGGUGCCGAGCUUAAUGGCGCCGCGGUAGUCAACAUCCCCACUCUAGGAAUGAGCCUUUCCCACGACAAUCCACUUCGGCGCCCAAUCCCACAUGGCGAAUAUGUAUCGCAAUGGCCAUCUCCGGAGUGCCGGCUUAUAGGGAGCGACCCUCACAAGCAUGUGCGAAUGAGCACAAUGGCAAGUAACCAAAAGAUUCGUCUCAAAUAUCAAGUCCUUAUGUCUAACAACAUGGAAUAUAUCACAUAUCUCAACGGCCUAUCUCUAAGUCAUCAUGUCUAAAACAUGGAAGUAAUAGAUAUCAAAGGCCUAUCGCUAUGUCUUAUUAUAGCAGUUUCAUAGUUUGCUAGUCCAAGUGCUCCUUUAUGACACUUUUUGUAACACACUGGACCUUUGCAAAUUGCGAGGUUCGAGUGAUUGGCUGUGUUCGGAGCUUUUCCAGAUUUUCUGGUGGGUCGUUGACUGUGUUCCGACCUAUGGCACGUGUCCCGAGAUUUGUGGUACAAAGCCUUGCACCAAAAUCCGAAAAAACGGGAUUUGGCUGACUCUCGGAUUAUGUUCUGGCGGGCUUGUACCGGUACAAGGUUGUGCUUGUACCGGUACAAGGUUGAUGGUUGUACCGGUACAGCCAUCGGAGCUUGUACCGGUACACAGCCACAGAGCCCAGCAACCCGAGCCUCGGGUUUGGAUUUCGUGGACCUUGUACCGGUACAAGGGCCCGUGUACCGGUACAAGGCGGCAGACUUCGCACAGUUCAAAACUGCAGGGGUGUUUUUGCUUUUGUAGCACUUCUAUUAGAACCCCCACGNUUUCUCUCCUUCUUUCUUCUUCUCCUUCUUUUCUUUUUCUCACGGUUAGAGAGAGAGAGCUAUGUGAGAGGGAGAGAAAGAGGCUAAGUGUGUGAGAGAGAGGCUGAGAGAGGGCUAAUAUCUCUCUAUUGUAAUAAAAUCCCAAAAGCCCCUCAACUUUUCCACUUUCCAAAACUGCCCUGCUGUUUCGGGCUCCUUGUACCGGCAUACGGUUUCUUAUACCGGUACAAGGCCUGGCAGACAGCCAAAACCGAGAGCAAACCCGAGAGCUCAGGUCUCGGUUUCGUCGGGUUUGUACCGGUACAAGCCCCUUGUACCGGUACAGCACCUGGAGCCCUCAAAAACCCGAGAGCUGCGAUGGCUGUACCGGUACAGCCAUCACCCUUGUACCGGUACAGCAGCUCCAGAAUGCUGUUUUCACUCUAUUUCGGCUCCACUUCGUGCCGAUUGAUGUCAAAACCAUUCCAAUACCUUUGAAACUUUUUGCUCUUCCAAACCUGUUGGAAUGCCGAAUGGAGCUUGUCCAAACCGUUCAAUCGCCCACUUUGGCCCUUUUGGCCAAAGUUAGCCAAUAUCGUCGAAUUUCGAUAUCUCACAUUCUCCACCCCUUAAAAGGAGUUUCGUCCUCGAAACAUCUAACUCGUAAAUCGAACUUAAACUCUUACCUCAAUUCUUAAAUAAGUGAGGAUGAUUCGCUUUCAUCUGGUCCUCGAGCUCCCAAGUGUCGCGAUCGUCGUGAUUGCUCCACCGGACUUUAACAUAGGAAAUUUCUCGAUUCCUUAGCUUACGCACUUCUCGAGCCAAAAUCUCUACCGGAAACUCUUCAUAACUCAUAUCAUCUUGAUGGAAAGGAAAUGUAUGCAUCUACAUGUGCAUUUAAUGUAGCGAAAAAAUAUUUUAAUUUAUAAAAUAUGAUCCAAUCAUGUAUACUUUAAUAUCAUAACAUUUAUGAUAUUAGUAUAUAUAUGUACCAAGAUCAUCUCGUGUGACACACAAAAUUAUUAUUUUAAUCUAAUUAGAAGAAGGGUUCGAAUUUCAACCUGUGCAAAUUACCGAAAUUAUUUCACGGUUGAGGUGGAUCUGAACUUCUUGUCCUUUGAGCCGCACAAGUGUUCGGCCUCUACGUGUAUCCACACAAGGCUGCUCCGGGAUCUGUACUUCACAUAAUCACAAUGUAAUCUCGAAACUCCUUUCGCGAUCUCUUGUGUCAAUGUGGAGAAAAAUUAAUCCUCAAAAUUGUGCUAGCAAUUUGAAGAGGAUUAACAAUAGAGACUAAUUAAUAUAAGAGGACCUCUCUCUUAUGAUUAAAAGAGAAUUCUAUAUAUGAUUAAAACUAUCUAUCUUUCUCUCGUACUUUAUUACAAAUCACCCACUUCAUUGAGGAGGAUUACGUCUCCUUUUAUAGGCUUAAAUGCCAUGAAUGAGUGGGAAUCAAACUCCUCUCAUUGUUCGCAAAGAGGAGAGAAGAAACUACCACUAUAAAUGAUGGGAAGUCAAUUCCUCUCAUUUAAUAGGUGGAAUGAAAAGAAACGAGUGGAGAAAGAGAAAAGAGGAGGUUUUCAUUUUCACCUUAUUAACUAUAUUAUUAAUAGGGUAAGUGAACGUAUGAGUUCAUUUGGUCUUCUCCCUUCCUCGUUUAAUUUCACUUUGUAACUUCCUCAAUUAAUCUUUAUUAAUUGAGGAGUUUAUGAGAGAAAGAUCGUAAACUCCUUUUAGUAACUUCAGCGCAAGUGCACCGUAUGCAACAAUUGCAUUAACUCUAAAAUUUUACAAAUUGGUCCUUCUUGCUAAUCAAUUUAGCAAGUAAAUUCUGGCUUUGCUACUUUAGCAAAAUAGUCUUUAUUAAUUCUCCAAGCACUAGAUCACACGCAGCCUUUAUUGUGUGUGACCACAUAGGUUCAAUUUUACCUGGUAGUGAGAUGUGACAGUAAACUCUUUUAAUGUCACCAUCGGAACUCUUCUCGAUGGACCAAAACAUUUUUGGCUCUCCCAACUGAGUGUAAUUAACUAUCUUAAUUAUUCUCAUAGGUCCCACAAUUCACGAGUGACACCUAGCAGUAUAUCGCGGCAAUCCAAGUAGAAUUAAUAAUAGACGGAACCUCUAGGUGUAGUUACCGUGUGAUAAAAUCCUUCUAUCACUAGUCCCGAUUGAGCCGAGGUUAUGGAUUACUCGUCAAACCCCUUACUCAAUCAUAUGUCUCAUCUGAUUAACAAUUAAUAUGGAAACUCUUUUCCAUAAAAUCAUACUGCCUUGGCCAAGGACUUUUAUAUCUUGUAAAACAGAUAGUAUAGGACAAUUACCUCUCUACCGAGGGUGACAGAUUCCAUCUUGACACACACCUACCUCCACGUAUGACCCACUGCAACCAACAUGUGUCGACUUAACCCAUGAUUAGGGUAUAAGUAUUUACACAGUCAAACUACAAUAACCCACAUGCAAGAUAACCGUGGUGCCUCAGGUCAAAGGAUUACUCACACUACUAUAGUAUGGAACAAUUCACUGACGAGUGAGUAGACAUCCAUGUGAUUGUUUAUAGUUGGUCACGCUUAGUGAAAUUGUUCUCUAACAUUCACCUGUAUACUUACCCUAGUGUCACCACACUAAUGACUUAAGACUCGUCAUCCCAUAAAGGAAGUACAGUAUACACUGAUCUAUUCGGAUUUACCACCGCCCUCGUGAUAAUCCUAUGAUCAGGAGCAUUUAAGAAUUAAUUACAGAAGAAUAUAUGUCUCAAAUUUCUAACUUCUUAGAAAGUUUAUUCUUCUACUAUUAAUUCUAUGGACGAUUCAUAAUUAUGCAUUUGGCAAUAAUAUGAAUUAAGAAUGCCAGAAUUAAUCAUAAAAGAAAAGUACACUGAUAUUAACCCUUUAAGUUAUGACAGGAUUGGCUUAUAGGACAUAUAACUAACAGUUCCGGCGGCUCAUAUAGCAACGCAUGCUCGGGGUCGUGAAUAUACUUGCGGAGGUUGGAGACGUGGAAGACAUUGUGCACACCCGCAAGCUUCGGGGGCAAUGCAAGUCGGGACGCCACCGUCCCAAUUCGCUCCAAGAUCUCGUAGGGGCCAAUGUAACGAGGGCUUAGCUUUCCUCACACCCCAAACCGCUUCACACCUCGCAUCGGUGAAACCUUCAGAAAUACGCGGUCAUCCACUGCGUACUCUAUAUCUCGCCGGCGUCUAUCCGCAUAGCUUUGCUGUCUCGAUUGCGCCGUGAGCAAUCUUUUGCGAGCAAGGUGGACUUUCUUUUCCGCUUCUCGCAACACAUCUAGGCCGAACUCCGCACGCUCACCUACAUUGCUCCAGUGUAUAGGGGAUCGACACGUCCGCCCAUAGAGGGCCUCAAACGGUGCCAUCUCCACACUAGCAUGAUAACUAUUAUUGUAGGCGAAUUCGGCCAUCGAUAGGUGGUCACACCAACUUUCUUUAUAGUCGAUGACACACGCUCGCAACAUAUCCUCCAGAGUUUGAAUAGUUCUCUCUGUUUGCCUAUCGGUCUGAGGAUGAAACGCGGUGCUAAAGUCGAGCCGUGUGCCAAGGGCUUCCUGCAGGCUCUUCCAGAAAUGCGAAGUGAACCGGGGGUCACGAUCCGACAAGAUCGAUUUCGGCACACCAUGCAGUCUCACUAUCUCGUCAAGGUAUACCUGCGCUAACUUGUCACCCGACCACGUGGUGUGGAUCGACAAGAAGUGAGCCGACUUCGUCAAUCGGUCCACAAUUAUCCAAAUUGCAUCGUGGCCGCCCUUUGAGCGAGGAAAGCCGACUACGAAGUUCAUCGAUAUAUCCUCCCAUUUCCAAACGGGGAUUGGUAGGCUGUGAAGCUUUCCCGCUGGGAAUCGAUGCUCAGCCUUCACCUGUUGGCAUGUUAGGCACUUCGCCACAAAGCGUCCGAUGUCGCCUUUCAUUUCCGGCCACCAGUAGAGUAUUUUUAGUCCUUGAUACAUCUUGGUGCCGCCCGAGUGAUUAGCAUACGGGGAACAAUGCGACUCCUGAAGUAUAAGCUUGCGAAGCUCCUCAUCAUCUAGUACACACAUCCGGUUCCGAAACCGAAGCGUACCAUCGGCGUCUACAUUGAACUCGCCGCCAUGACCUUCCUCGAUAUUUCGCCGCACCUUUUGGAGUUCUGGGUCCGCAGGUUGCAGAUCUUUGAUCCUUUCCAACAAGAUCGGUUGGACAACGAGUGCCAUCAACUGAGUCGGGACCUUGGAAGCGACCACUUCAAGGUCCAAUCGCUCCAUAUCCAGCCAUAGGGGUGUUUGCUGGGUAACGGCAAAAGCGAGGUUCUUCGCCGUCUUCCUACUCAGCGCAUCCGCGACCACAUUUGCCUUCCCGGGGUGGUAAAGGAUAUCAACAUCAUAAUCCUUCAAUAGCUCCAACCACCGCCGCUGACGCAUAUUGAGCUCUUUCUGUGUGAACAGAUACUUCAAGCUCUUAUGGUCGGUGUAGAUCUCGCAAUGAGCACCAUAUAAAUAAUGUCUCCAAAGCUUCAAGGCAAAUAUCACCGCCGCCAACUCUAGAUCGUGAAUGGGGUAGUUCUUUUCAUAGCUCUUCAGCUGACGGGAUGCAUAAGCAAUAACCUUCCCGCCCUGCAUCAACACACACCCCAAGCCCAGAUAAGAAGCAUCACUGUAGACGACGUAGUCCUGCCCCUGCACCGGUAAAGCGAGUACCGGAGUCGAAGUUAACCUUUGUUUCAACUCUUUAAAACUCCGGUCACACUCGUCGCUCCAAACAAACUUGGUGCCCUUUUGUGUCAAGCGGGUAAGUGGAGUCACAAUCUUUGAGAACCCCUCCACAAACCGUCGAUAAUAACCGGCUAGGCCCAUAAAACUACGGACCUCGGUAACAUUCGUCGGGCGCGGCCAAUUCUCAAUAGCCUCCACUUUCCUCGGGUCAACUGAAACACCACCCUCGGAAAUAACAUGCCCGAGAAAUGCAAGCUCCUUGAGCCAGAAGUCGCACUUCUUCAGCUUUGCGUACAACUUCUUCUCCCGAAGGAUUUGAAGUACCGUGCGCAAAUGCUCCGCGUGCUCCUCGUCGCUACGCGAAUAUACCAAAAUGUCGUCUAUGAAGACCACUACAAAUCGGUCCAAGCAUUCCUGGAACACUCGGUUCAUCAAGCUCAUGAACGCUGCCGGGGCAUUUGUAAGCCCAAACGGCAUCACCGUGAAUUCGUAGUGUCCAUAACGGGUGCGAAACGCCGUCUUCUGAACAUCUUCCGGCUUGAUCUUUAACUGGUGAUAGCCGGAUUGAAGGUCGAUCUUAGAAUACACUCGCGACCCCUGCAACUGAUCAAACAAGUCAUCAAUACGGGGUGGCGGGUACUUGUUUUUCACCGUGACCUUGUUCAACUCGCGGUAAUCCACGCAGAGUCGAAAAUAUCCAUAUUUCUUGCGCACAAAUAAUACCGGGGCACCCCACGGCGAAACGCUCGGCCUAAUGAAUUCUUUGUCGAGAAGAUCCUGCAAUUGAUCUCUUAACUCCCUUAGCUCGGCCGGCGCCAUGCAAUACGAGGCCUUAGAAAUCGGUGCGGUGCCGGGAACCUAGUCAAUCAUGAACUUGAUCUCCCGGUCCGGCGUCAUACCCGGUAACUCUGCGGGAAACACGUCGGGGAACUCCCGCACAACUGCCAACUCCUCGAGGGUUGGAACCGCUCGAUCAAUCUCCACAACGGUCGCCAAAUAAGCUGUGCAACCGCUGUUCACCAGCUUCCUCGCUCUAGUCACCGAUACCGUCGCGGCGAAGCACGAGCUCUUGCAAGCUCGAUAGGUGAACUCUUCUUGACCCGGCUCCCAAAAUGUGAUAACUCGAGUCGGGCAAUCAAUCGACACAUAGUACUUCGAUAGCCAAUCCAUGCCCAAUAUGACAUCGAACUCCUUCAACCUUUUGAGCACCAACAAGUCGAUCGGUAUAACCCAGUCAUUCACUUGCACUGGACAUGCUAAGCAUCGCUUCCUAACAAAAAAGGAUCGCCCGGGGGCCCUCAACAUGCCAAACAUGCUCCCCAAGACGAUACUCGAUAUCAGGCGCUCGUGCAAAUGAUCGGCUAAUGAAUGAGUGUGAUGCGCCUGUAUCAAAUAGAGCUCUAGCUCGAACAUCUUUAACCAAAAUUAUACCUGCCACAAUGUUGCGCUCGCCGGCCUCAAAAGGCUCCUCAAUGAGCACGGGUGCAGCAUACAUCCUCCCGCUCGGCGCAGAUCGUGCAGGCUCAGGUUGGCGUGGCGCCGCCGCUCGCCCUGUAGAUACUGCAGGAAGGGGCAGAGCAUAGCGAGCUAGAACCGCCGGGGUCGAUGCAGUCGACAUAGCGGGCAAAGCUCCUCCCUGAGGACAGUCGNCAAUUGAUCUCUCAACUUCCUUAGCUCGGCCGGCGCCAUGCGAUACGGGGCCUUAGAAAUCGGUGCGGUGCCGGGAACCAAGUCAAUCAUGAACUCGAUCUUCCGGUCCGGCGGCAUACCCGGUAACUCCGCGGGAAACACGUCGGGGAGCUCCCGCACAACUGCCAACUCCUCGAGGGUUGGAAUUGCUCGAUCAAUCUCCACAACGGUCGCCAAAUAAGCUGUGCAACCGCUGUUCACCAGCUUCCUCGCUCUAGUCGCCGAUACCGUCGCGGCGAAGCACGAGCUCUUGCAAGCUCGAUAAGUGAACUCUUCUUGACCCGGCUCCCGAAAUGUGAUAACUCGAGUCGGGCAAUCGAUCGACACAUAGUACUUCGAGAGCCAAUCCAUGCCCAGUAUGACAUCAAACUCCUUCAACCUUUUGAGCACCAACAAGUCGAUCGGUAUAACCUAGUCAUUCACUUGCACUGGACAUGCCAAGCAUUGCUUCCUAACAAAAAAGGAUCGCCCGGGCCCCUCAACAUGCCAAACAUGCUUCCCAAGACGAUACUCAAUAUCAUGCGCUUGUGCAAAUGAUCGACUAAUAAAUGAGUGUGAUACGCCUGUAUCAAAUAGAGCUCUAGCUCGAACAUCUUUAACCAAAAUUAUACCUGCCACAACGUUGCGCUCGCCGGCCUCAGAAGGCUCCUCAACAUGCACGGGUGCAGCAUACAACCUCCCGCUCGGCGCUGAUCGUGCAGGCUCUGGUUGGCGUGGCGCCCCGCUCGCCCAGUAGAUACUGCAGGAGGGGGCAGAGCAUAGCGAGCUGGAACCGCCGGGGCCGAUGUAGUCGACAUAGCGGGCAAAGCUCCUCCCUGAGGACAGUCGCGGAUGACAUGCCCCGCUUGCCCGCACUUGAAGCACCUCCCACGGCGAUGCUCACAUACACCCGGUCGGUGGUCUUCGCCGCAAAAGAUGCAUCGCUCUGCACCACGACCCUUGGGCUGAGAGCGUGGAUACUUCGGGGGCCUCUUGGAGCUAGACUGUCCCCCCGAGCCACCGCCUUGCCUCUUCUUGCCUUUAUCCUUGUCGAACGCCUUACGGUCCUCACGCUCGCAAGCGUUCCCGUGCUCGACCCAUAAUGCGCUGUCUAAUGCCCCCGCCAAAGUGUGGAACUUGAAGGCAUGCACCAACUUGAAUACUCCGGGCCGGAGUCCUCGAACAAAACAAUCCGCCCGGUCCUGCUCUGUCGUCGCCACGUCCGGGACACAACUCAGGAGAUGGGUGAACUCCCNNNNNNNNNNNNNNNNNNNNNNNNNNNNNNNNNNNNNNNNNNNNNNNNNNNNNNNNNNNNNNNNNNNNNNNNNNNNNNNNNNNNNNNNNNNNNNNNNNNNNNNNNNNNNNNNNNNNNNNNNNNNNNNNNNNNNNNNNNNNNNNNNNNNNNNNNNNNNNNNNNNNNNNNNNNNNNNNNNNNNNNNNNNNNNNNNNNNNNNNNNNNNNNNNNNNNNNNNNNNNNNNNNNNNNNNNNNNNNNNNNNNNNNNNNNNNNNNNNNNNNNNNNNNNNNNNNNNNNNNNNNNNNNNNNNNNNNNNNNNNNNNNNNNNNNNNNNNNNNNNNNNNNNNNNNNNNNNNNNNNNNNNNNNNNNNNNNNNNNNNNNNNNNNNNNNNNNNNNNNNNNNNNNNNNNNNNNNNNNNNNNNNNNNNNNNNNNNNNNNNNNNNNNNNNNNNNNNNNNNNNNNNNNNNNNNNNNNNNNNNNNNNNNNNNNNNNNNNNNNNNNNNNNNNNNNNNNNNNNNNNNNNNNNNNNNNNNNNNNNNNNNNNNNNNNNNNNNNNNNNNNNNNNNNNNNNNNNNNNNNNNNNNNNNNNNNNNNNNNNNNNNNNNNNNNNNNNNNNNNNNNNNNNNNNNNNNNNNNNNNNNNNNNNNNNNNNNNNNNNNNNNNNNNNNNNNNNNNNNNNNNNNNNNNNNNNNNNNNNNNNNNNNNNNNNNNNNNNNNNNNNNNNNNNNNNNNNNNNNNNNNNNNNNNNNNNNNNNNNNNNNNNNNNNNNNNNNNNNNNNNNNNNNNNNNNNNNNNNNNNNNNNNNNNNNNNNNNNNNNNNNNNNNNNNNNNNNNNNNNNNNNNNNNNNNNNNNNNNNNNNNNNNNNNNNNNNNNNNNNNNNNNNNNNNNNNNNNNNNNNNNNNNNNNNNNNNNNNNNNNNNNNNNNNNNNNNNNNNNNNNNNNNNNNNNNNNNNNNNNNNNNNNNNNNNNNNNNNNNNNNNNNNNNNNNNNNNNNNNNNNNNNNNNNNNNNNNNNNNNNNNNNNNNNNNNNNNNNNNNNNNNNNNNCCUACACAGAGAACAAGCCAAAACGCCAACAGUCGACACUGGAAUCAGCAGCAGCAGCAGAGAAGCUCGAUAAUGGAGUAGUUUGAAGUAACCGAAGGGAUUUCGGUGGCCUACUCACCUCGACAACCGCCCUGGGAGCAGCACCACGUCGAGGAUGGUAAGGGACAGCAGUCGCCCGGCCUCCUCGCAGCGUCACAAUGUUGAAAGCACCCUCGAUCCGCUCCGCGGCGCGUCGUCGACGAAGCUUGAGCUUCUCCCUUGAGCUCCUCCACCACCUCUACUCAGCCAAGGGGGAAGAGGAAGAAGCACAGCAGAGGAGGAAGAAGCCCUCCCCCCUCUCUCCUCCCUGCUCUUAAGGUAAGGGGAAAAGUGGUGACAAGACUAGAGAGGAAAAAGUCAAACAGCACCAUACCUGUCAAAGUGUACCGGUACAGCUCACUGAAAAUCUGCUAUUUCGCAGAUCUUCAAGAUACACGCUGCUCUCAAGUUCCCACAAGGCCCGUUUGGCGUCCACUUCGCGCCAACGCGACCCGGACUUGACCCGACACUCUCCAGAGCUGUCGACAAGCCUCAGCUAAAAUUUCCGGUCUCUACAUGGGGUGUGACAACUACGAAUAGUUUCCAGUGGGUUCGACCGCCGACUCCACCGAUCUACCCACUAGGUCUUAAGCAGGCAUAGAGAGAUAUAUAUAUGCAAUAUAUAUAAAGCUAAACUGAACUGAAAGCGGGUAUGUAAAACAGGUCUAUCAAGCUAUACCUCAAUCUGAUAUCAUGGAUGCAUGAACAAUAAAUAAAGCUGGGAAAGUAAACAACUAUGAACAACAACAACAACUAUGAAAGCUAGUUAUCAUGAGCAAUAAUAAUGAGUAUGACUCAAUAGGUAACCAAAUCUCAAGGUGAACUUGUGGUUCACAAGCAUAACUCACGUGUAAAUCUCAUAGGGAAAGUCUCACUGAACUAUUCUCCGAGACCGCCUGCGGACAACACACUGACCGUGCAGACAGCACACUGACUGUCUCCCUAGUGACCAACCUCCGGAGUGCACAGCUUGUGGGGAGCGACCUCUCCAAGUGCAGACAGGCUAUGUGAGCAGGAUCAACUCACGAACAGCAGCAAUCUACCCUCUAAGGAUAAUCUCAUUAUGGAAUCAAGGUAUUCUUGUACCCAAUCUCAUAGUGUCUCAACUACACUAAUGUUCUCAUAGCAAGGUCAUUAACAAUCAUAUGCCACUCAUCAUAGUUUUCUAACUAGAUGCCACUCGUCAUUUAGACUCAUUAUCAACACUAGUUACAUCAUACUAGUUCUUUAGCAACAUAAGCAUUAAUCAUCUCAUAUAGGGUCUAGGUCUUUAUCAUAGAGUUUUCAUCAUAUAAUCAUCAUGCAUGCUAGAUUAUGAACCAACCAAGCAAGAUACAUUAAGCUACUAGCAUGUAAUUAUAAGCAACAAUCCAUCUCUAGCCCUAUAUGAAUAUGCACAAUAUGCAAUUAGAUCAACUUAUAAAACUUAGACAUAGAAGGUAGUCCGAUUGGUUCGGGAUGGUCACCACCCACCUUGUGGUAGUACCGUAGAGCUAAGAAACUCGGCGUCGCAGUCCACGUGCGCCGCUUCAACACCUUGGGUCAAAACGAACCCUAGAGCACCCAAAUCGGCUAUAACUCCGCACUCGCUCGACGGAUCGACGAACCGUGUUCGCCUACGCGUUUGGGAGCAUAGGAAUUAGGUUUCUAACCCACCAAAAGAGAUCAAAACCUUACAUUUCCAAAAAUCCCAAAAUCAAGCCCUAGGUUUAGCACACCCAUGGGAAGCAAUGGUUUCUAGCUUCAUUGUGAGCUAAAUCCAUAUUCUCUAAGCUCAUUAGGUUCCAUUUGAACCAUCAAAACCAACAAAAACCUCCCAAAACCCUAGAUUCACAAGUUAGGGUUGAGGCUUACCUCUAGGGUUUGCUCCAAAGCAAGCCCUAGCUUGAGAAUGAGGAGGGAGAGAGCUUCACUUUCCUCUCCUUGAUCUUCUCCUUCUUUUUCUUCUUCUCUUCUCCUUCUUUCUCUCAUUCUUUCUUCUUCUUCUUCUUCUUGCGGUUAGAGAGAGAGAGAGCUAAGUGAGAGGGAGAGAGGCUGAGAGAGAGGGGUAUUAUAACCCUCUAAUGUAACAAUAUCUCAAAAAGCCCCUCUAUUUUCUGUUUUUCCAAAACAGCCCUGCUGUUCGUGUGCCCUUGUACCGGUACACGAUUUUUUGUACCGGUACGAGGCCUGGGUGACAGCCAGAUCGAGCGCAACCCAAGAGCUCGGGUUCUCGGUUUCGACGGGUUUGUAUCGGUACAAGCCCUUUGUACCGGUACAGCACCUGGAGCCCUCCAAAACCCGAGAGCUGCGAUGGCUGUACCGGUACAACCAUCACCCUUGUACCGGUACAGCAGCUCCAGAAUGCUGUUUUCACUCUGUUUCGGCUCCACUUCGCGCCGAUCGAUGUCAAAACCAUUCCAACACCUUUNGUACCGGUACAGCAGCUCCAGAAUGCUGUUUUCACUCUGUUUCGGCUCCACUUCGCGCCGAUCGAUGUCAAAACCAUUCCAACACCUUUAGAACUCAUUUUUGCUCUUUCAAACUUGUUGGAAUGCCGAAUGGAACUUGUCCAAACCGUUUAAUCGCCCUUUUUUAGGCCAAAGUUAGCCAAUAUCGUCGAAUUUCGAUAUCUCACAUCCGCCACAAAUACAGAGAGUUCACCGAUCACACGGACAGAGUCUCCCCUAUAUUUGCACGGCGUCGCACAAGUAUAACAAGUAAACUGGAUAAAACCACAACUUAAUGAAUAUAGAAACAACUAUACAAUCAUUCAUUCACCAUUCACAUCACAGUUAUACAUUCAAUAUUUAAACAUAAAUCUACAUCUAUCAGUUAAAACGUUUCCAACCCAGAAAUAGAUUUUGAAAUACUAAGAUACAAAAUCCACAGAAAACCUUUUAAAAACGGUUCCCUACACGGGAACUUUUAUCUUUUAGAAACGCUACCACGAGGGGUAGAAAAUCAUUCAACAUUUGAAAUCCACAAAUCUUUUUUAUUAUAUUAUAAAUCCAACUGAAAACUCAGAUAUUCAAAUAAUAUAACAAAACUGAACCAUGAUAUCACGCCCCGGGACCGGCGGAGGCCCUCCCGGUAGCGUGCCCAGACCCGCCAUAUGUCUACACAUAUAAGGCGUCUACAAUAAAAGUGGAAGUAAAAGCAAGUAAUAGAACAAAUAGAAGAAGUGAAAUAAUGAGCAGCUAAUGAUAUCAGAGCGAGUAAAGUUCUAACAUCUACACCAAGGUAAAGAAGUAAAGCUAGACAAUAAAAGAAUUCAUGAGUAGUACAAUAUCUGUCUCAAAAGUACAAAAACGGUGGUCUCUAGUACACUGGUAGAACUCUCAACCUCUCGCAAAAGGAAAUAAAAAUCGAGAGGUAGACCACCUAGCAACUCGUCCUCGAAGGAAGCUAGCUCGAAGCAACUCCCUUCCCGCGAUCCCUGGCCUCACCCUGAGUGGAAGGCUCUGUAAAACAUCGAGAAAAAGAGGGCAUGAGAACUAUAAUUUAUAGUUCCCAGUGGGCAAUUACUGACCUCAGCUCAAUGCACCACUAGGCCCCAAAAGAAGAGGGUAAGUACAAUAAUAAUAGCAAUAAAUAGCGAACACGAAACUGCUGAAGGAAGCAUGAAUGAAAUGCUAUGCUACUAUGUCUCCAAUAAGCAUGAUGUUAUGGUAAUGUACAUCUACGCUAUCAUAAGGUAAUAUAUCCGAUGCAUACUAAUAUGUCUCAACAUAAAAAGCAAGUAAACCUCACGAUGCCAUAUGUCAAUGCAUAAGGGUAAACUUUAUCCAAACAACCGAGUAUGCUACGAUGCAAUAAUGAAAUUGGCAAGUAUACUAAAUGUACCAAUGCUAUAUCAUAAGCGUGUCCAAGUAAUCCAACUACUAAUCCUAUCUAGUAGUGAUUGUUCAUAUUCAACACCGUGUCGAUUUCCAUUUCCAAUUAAGGACCUACCAAAGGUAGUCCAGCUUGUGCCGCCUAAGUGCCUGUGGUAGCCCGACAUUCCUACUCUUGGAAUGUGUCUGUCCCACUCGGCCCCGUAGGCUUCUCAAUACCGCACGAGCGAACGUAGUCGCGUAGGCUAACUCCGGAGUGCCGGCUUGUAGGGAGCGACCCUCACAAGCAUGUGCGAAUGAGCACAAAUGGCAAGCAAGCAUAGUCCAAGUCUCAAAUAUCCAAUCCUCAUGUCUCUAACAUGGUAUCAUAACUAGCAUCCCGAAGAUCUAGUCUAAGUCACAAUGUGAAGUUUUAGCAUUUGCUACGCCAAAUGCCCCUUGAUGACACUUAGGCAAUUUGAUGUUCAACAAGUUUUCCAAAUCCCUCAAUGGCCCUAUCCACUAGGUUCUCACAUGUCCCGAGCUCAAUGCCGCUUUAUGACAUUAGCUCUCUAGUUCACAUACCUCCUAAAUGGCAAUCUUGUCAUCUUUCAUGUCGCAAGUAACCUCAAGUUUAAAUGCAUGAUUCCGAACUCAUUUAUACUAUAGGAGCAUGAAACCAAGUCUCAUAGAGAAUGCUAAAUGCAACCAAGGAUCUCCCAAGCAACUCUCUACUACUUAGAGGUCUAAAAUUUCAUCAUAUAUAACACAUGCAUUUUAAGCAUUCUAAAAAUCAUAAUAAAUACAUUUGAUAUGAACAUGCAUGCUUUUUCAAUUUACGGAACAUAAAUAACCAUAUAUGAGAAUUUCUCAUAUGUAGGCUAGGUCAAACCCACCGAACCGUCGCGUAGGGUCUCUAUCCGCCGAACAAAGUUGUCCCCGAGUCUCAAAAUACCCUAAAAGUAUUGAGCGACAAGAUAUACGGGCAUUACGAUCAUCUAUGAGAUCACACUUUAACAAUUUUAGCAAAAAGGCUAAAACUCACCUAAUGAGUGGAAGAUCUCUCUCAAGCUCCAAAAGAGAGCUAAAUCCCUUCCAAUCUAUCCUAGAGGAAGGUUCUAAUCCAAUCAAUCAAGCUCCAAAAGCCCUAAAAUCAAAACGCCCAAAAUAAGCCCUAAAUCUCCAAUCUAGGGUUUCAUCUAGUAUAAAGCUUCAAAACCAAAAUCUAGAGGGAGAGAAUAAGCUACCAACCUCUAAGAAGCUUCCAACAAGGUUCAAAGUCCUCAAGGUCCAAGUAUCUCUCCCCCAACAAGCUCCAAGCCCAAGCUCUAAUGGUGGAAAAGCCUCCAAUACCCAAAAAGGAGCAAAAAGAGGUGUUUAAACUCUAAAAAUUCAAGCAAAACCAAGGAAAAGGAAUAAGGAGGUGUGGAGAGCUCCCUUACCUUCCUCCUUGCUGGUGCCAAGCUCAGGAAAGACCCCUAGGGCGUGGGGGUACUAAUAGAGAUGCCACAAAUGCGAAAAACCCACUGCAGUUCAAACUGCUCAGAUUCUGCCAAAGUGUACCGGUACACGGGAAAGUGUACCGGUACACAUCCUACGAAAAUGCAAACCCAAGGCUCGAGUUUGAAAUCUGCCACAAGUGUACCGGUACGACCAUCAAGGGUGUACCGGUACAAAAUGUGUACCGGUACAACCAUCGACCUGUCACCGGUUACACCUAGUGCAGAAUGCAAUCCGAGGGUUGGCUAAGUCCAACUCUUUAGUGAGCUUAGCGCUACACAAAAUACUACAAUUCUCGGAAUGCGAGCCAUAGGUCGGAACACUGUCAACGACUCACCAGAAAGUCUGGAAAAACUCGGGACACUGACCAAACACUCGAACUCCGCAGUUUGCAAAGGCACAGUGCGUCACACAUAAUAUGUCUAAGUUGUUUAUUCAAGCAUGAAGGGUAAAGAAAUAACUGACACGGGACGGAGCUCUAUCGUACGCUAGACACGCUCCUCACCAGCUGUCCCACUCGGACCUGCGACGUCACCUGUAAUGGGGGCGGGGGGUGAGAACAUGUAAACAUGUCUCCCCUCCCAAUGGGUACCGCAAGCCGACGAGAGCGAGGAGUACUCACUAGUCACGGAGAUAAACAAGGAUAUGGAUAAUGGUAGUACAGUAGCUAAGAUAAACAAGUAAUGAAAUGUAUAUAAAUAAACCACUACAGCUACUGUAUGCAUGCAUCAACGGGACAAUCAGUCCAAAAGUACCCAAUCUGAAACCAAUCCUCUCUUGGUCCGCACCGCAAACCUCAAGCCAGUGCCACUACUACUCUACCAUGCAUAUAACCCCUCUAGGGCUCACGAGUUGACACCUGCAACCACUUUUCCGAAAAAAAACACCCCGUCUGGUGGAUCAGACCGCCAGUGUUCGUGAAAUGCGACGAGUAUCAGGCGAUCAAUGCAAUAUGCUCAAUGAUCAACCGUCGGCAACUAGCCGACAAUCCUGCCCCCCAGGGCACACCAACCACAUGGGUCAUCAUGUAAUCCAAUCAACCAACCAGGUCAUAAGUAUAGGAAAUGUAGCGUCGACGAACCAGGUCAUGGAGAUCACAUAGGAGAACAGACCAACCAAAUCAUAGAUGCAAAUAGGAGAACCGACCAACCAGGUCGCAGAUGCAAAUAGAACCGACCAACCCGGUCACAGAUGCAAAUAGGAGAACCGACCAACCAGGUCACGGAUAUCAUAUACAGAUAAAGUUUACUCUACUCCUACACAUGAUACUACACCUGGCAACAACUAAGUAGAGUAAAUAAGGAAAUAGUAUGGGUGCAAGGCUCAACAUGUAUAAGGUAACUGAUAUAAACAACAAGGGUAAAGGAAACGUCACCGAGCGUGCACCACUGUACAGACUUCGGAUUGAAGUACCCACCUGUACGUGUCUGACGAAAAUCUCUCGACUGUGAAGAUGGUGCAACCGAACCUACGAAAGGUCCACCAGGUUAGAACCUAACCCACUAACACAUAUCGCUAACUCACAAUCCCACAGUCAUAGCCCCUUGGGAAUCGGUUUUCCAAAAUUGAUUGCCGAACUCACUAGAAGUCACAAAAAAAACUGCACCGGGACUCCGCCGGGACCCACGAACCGACCCGGCACUACCUAACUCAUCAUAUGAGUUGCUCGCUGCCGCUAAACACCUAUUUUAGUGUGACAAGGCAGCAAAGACACUAACUCGAUGCGGAACGAUUAUCGUCGGAUAAUCGUUCCGAUUCGGAUUUCUGGAAGUGUUUAUUUCGACACCGGAACCCGCCGUGGCUCACCCGUCGUUUCUGAACCCUCGAAACGACGCGGGUGAUAAGCCAACAAGGCUUAGCGACGCUACAAUCAACCACGAGGCACCGGCGGAUGAAGUCCGAAUCGAAAACGCGUUCUAUCGGCGGAUUUCGCCGAAAAACGCUCCGGAAAUCACUUUUAGAUUUCUGCAAAGGCUUGGGGCCGUGGACGAUCAGUCCAAAGGUUACCCUCAGCCUACCCUUACUGCCAACAGCAGCUACAUUGAAGCAAAAACCCUAAAACCCCUUACCGAUACAUGAAAUCACAUCAUUUUAUGUGAUUUCUAGGCUUUUCUAGACCGUGCACGCAAACCAGAGAUCGAUUAGGCAAACCGUCGCGCUUGCUGAUAGGUUUCAACGUGUCGGAGGCCGUGCUCACCUUUCGGAGCACUGCCGGCCACUGUGGCAUGCGCAUGAGCGACAUGAAACUCUGUGAAACAGCGCGCAUAGCGCUAAGAUUGCCAUUAAUGCACAAUCCAGGGCAUCUCUGUCCCUGUCGGACGUGAGCAAGAUAUUCAGCACGUGUUGUAGAUCAUCGUGCUCACUUCCCAAAGUUCAGGAGGCUAAUCGGAUCACCGGAAAGGUGACCGAAAUCUCAGAAUUCAAUGCUGGAACAUAAAACAACCUGACCGGAACCGGGGAGAGCUAGGGUUGGUCGCCGGCGGCCGGACGGCGGGCGGUCCAGCCAGGGGAGGGCGCGGCCGGUUGGUGAGGUCCGUGGCACCUGCUGGCCGGCGGCUGGAGGCGUCCGUGUCACGCAUAUAUAUAUAUAUAUAUAGAAAAUGACUUGGUCCAAGGGUAUUAUCCUAACUUCACAAAUCUAAAAGCACCAAGUCAUAAUAUAUAGGGGCAAUUUCAUAGAUACCCCUUCCAAAACUUAAAAUAUCAUGUAUGCCUUUCUAAAGUUUAAAAUAUCACAUAUACCCCUGUAAACAUCGAAAAUUAACAUCAAUACCCCUACUGUUAGUUGUUCUAACUUUACCAUAGUUAUUAAAUGGUUAGAGAUGGGUUAACUUUUAAUAUGACCAGUUUACCCUCAGCUCCCUUAAGUAAAAAUGUAUGGAGAACCCCUCAACUAUAUGUCGUUUUAAAACAGCUUCCUCAACUUUUAUAUUUUAGUUGACAUCCCAUUAAUUUUUAGUUUUUAAAAUAUUAACUAAUUUUAGUACAUGAAAAAUGAGAAUUUUGUCAAGUUUUUUUUGAUGAUUUCACUAAAUUUAGUGGCGCUAUUUAUAUUUUUAGCAAAUAAAUAACUAUGUAUAAAAAUUUAAAUAAAAAACAAAGUUGAGGAUUUUUUUCGAUCUUUCUUUAAUCUUGGAAGCUUCCAAAAUAUUUUAACCAAAAUUAUUCACGAUAAUUUUAUCUGUAUUAAAUGCAUUAAAAAACUGAAAUAUAAUAUAUUUUAGCUUUUGAACAAAACUCUCUCUCUUUUUUUUCAAUCGACAAAAAAAAUGCAUGCAUAUAGUUUUGUGAUUUAUUUUUGCUUAAAUAGAAAAAANNNNNNNNNNNNNNNNNNNNNNNNNNNNNNNNNNNNNNNNNNNNNNNNNNNNNNNNNNNNNNNNNNNNNNNNNNNNNNNNNNNNNNNNNNNNNNNNNNNNNNNNNNNNNNNNNNNNNNNNNNNNNNNNNNNNNNNNNNNNNNNNNNNNNNNNNNNNNNNNNNNNNNNNNNNNNNNNNNNNNNNNNNNNNNNNNNNNNNNNNNNNNNNNNNNNNNNNNNNNNNNNNNNNNNNNNNNNNNNNNNNNNNNNNNNNNNNNNNNNNNNNNNNNNNNNNNNNNNNNNNNNNNNNNNNNNNNNNNNNNNNNNNNNNNNNNNNNNNNNNNNNNNNNNNNNNNNNNNNNNNNNNNNNNNNNNNNNNNNNNNNNNNNNNNNNNNNNNNNNNNNNNNNNNNNNNNNNNNNNNNNNNNNNNNNNNNNNNNNNNNNNNNNNNNNNNNNNNNNNNNNNNNNNNNNNNNNNNNNNNNNNNNNNNNNNNNNNNNNNNNNNNNNNNNNNNNNNNNNNNNNNNNNNNNNNNNNNNNNNNNNNNNNNNNNNNNNNNNNNNNNNNNNNNNNNNNNNNNNNNNNNNNNNNNNNNNNNNNNNNNNNNNNNNNNNNNNNNNNNNNNNNNNNNNNNNNNNNNNNNNNNNNNNNNNNNNNNNNNNNNNNNNNNNNNNNNNNNNNNNNNNNNNNNNNNNNNNNNNNNNNNNNNNNNNNNNNNNNNNNNNNNNNNNNNNNNNNNNNNNNNNNNNNNNNNNNNNNNNNNNNNNNNNNNNNNNNNNNNNNNNNNNNNNNNNNNNNNNNNNNNNNNNNNNNNNNNNNNNNNNNNNNNNNNNNNNNNNNNNNNNNNNNNNNNNNNNNNNNNNNNNNNNNNNNNNNNNNNNNNNNNNNNNNNNNNNNNNNNNNNNNNNNNNNNNNNNNNNNNNNNNNNNNNNNNNNNNNNNNNNNNNNNNNNNNNNNNNNNNNNNNNNNNNNNNNNNNNNNNNNNNNNNNNNNNNNNNNNNNNNNNNNNNNNNNNNNNNNNNNNNNNNNNNNNNNNNNNNNNNNNNNNNNNNNNNNNNNNNNNNNNNNNNNNNNNNNNNNNNNNNNNNNNNNNNNNNNNNNNNNNNNNNNNNNNNNNNNNNNNNNNNNNNNNNNNNNNNNNNNNNNNNNNNNNNNNNNNNNNNNNNNNNNNNNNNNNNNNNNNNNNNNNNNNNNNNNNNNNNNNNNNNNNNNNNNNNNNNNNNNNNNNACAAAGCCAGGCUGGUGCCUCUAAGGAGCACCGGAAGGCCUCCGUGUCGCUGAGCCGUUUCGAUGAUUGAGGCUUCGAAUCGACGAUGGCGGGCCGACGAGUAACUGUGUGGCCGGGCGUGUGGAUGUACUUCUAUUCUAUCUAUGUUGUAUUUCUACAAAUAUACAUAAUAGCUUUAUAUUAAGUCCGUGAAUAACUUAGAUUACUUACGCGGAUAUUAGGUAGUUUAUCUAGAAAUAAUUUUUUUGACUUGAUUUUUCCGGAUAUACAUUUAGACAUCUUACUUAGGUCAAUUAUAUGAAAUGCUAGGUGUUGAACAUUAUAAUUAUGUAAUUUUAAUUAAAAAUAUUUCAGAUUACGAUAAUUAAAACAAAAAAGGAUUCAAAUCAAUAAUUUUUAAUGGCUGAAAAUAAAAAUCCUAUAAAAGUGGUGAUAUAGCACUAAAAUUUUCGAUCAGAAAUGAUAGAUCUUGUUGUAGAUAGUAUAAAGAUUUUCUAUCAAAAUUCAUCUGAUUUGAAUACUUCUACACGUUAACUUGAAAACGUAGAUAUCAACCAUUAAAAAUUAUAGAUUUUGAAUCCUUUCGAUCACUAGGUAAAUGAUAUCGAAAAAUCGCAAAAAUUAUUUUCUAGAAACUUCAAAUGCGCUAGAUCAAGUCUAACAGAGCCGAUCGUCAAUUCGAAAAUUCCAUCAUCGAAAACGCUCAGGAGCACAGAGGCCUCCGUGCUCCUGAGAGCACAGCAGCCCUGCUCUAUUAUAUAUUAUAAUAUAUAUAUAUAUAUAUAUAUAUAUAUAUAUAUAGAGAGAGAGAGAGAGAGAGAGAGAGAGAGAGAGUUAGGCUGGUAUACUAUCGUUGUCACGGAGGCCUCCGUGCUACCAAGUUGUUUACAAUGAUGUGCUUUCAAAUCGACGAUCGCUCUUUAGAUUUGAUCUACCUGUAAAAGGUAUUUGGAAACAAAUUUUAUAAUUUUUCAGUAUCAUUUACCUAUCAAACUAGCAGUCUAAAAUGAACGGCUGAGAAUAAAAAUCUCAUAAAAAUGAUGAUAAAAGACUUGAAUUUAAGAUCAAAGGUACUGAUCUUACUCUAAACAGUCAAAGAAUUUCUCUAGAAAAAUUCAUCAAUUUUGAUUGUUUUACAACCGUUAAAUUCACAAAUGCAUCACAUCUACCUUUAAAUUGUCAAUUUUGAGACCUUUUAAUCACUAGCCAAAUGAUGUCGAAAAAUUAUGAAUUUAGUUUUCAAAUACUUUAUAGUGUAGAUCAAGUUUAACAGAGCCGAUCGUCGAUUUGAAACCGCAUCAUUGAAAACAAUUUGGUACAGCGGAGGCCUCGUGCUACCGAUAGUAUACCAGCCUAACUCUAUAUAUAUAUAAUAUAUAUAUAUAUAUAUAUAUUAUAAUUAUAUAUAUAUAUAGAUCCGUUCAGUACUUUCGAAAGUACGGGAGGCCCUGUGUGCUUGUAAUCUGUUUUAUGAUAGGACGUCCGAUUCGACGAUCGGCUCCGUUAGGUAUGAUCUAUCCUAUUGGAACUAUCUAGAAACCAAAUUUUAUUUUUUUGACAUCAUUUACUAAGCGAUCAAAGGUCUAAAAAUGACUAUUUAACGGCCGAUGUGGCAUAUUUUUAAGUUCAAACGGUUAGAAGUAUCCAAAUUACAUGAAAAUUUAAUAGAAAAUUCUACUUAACAUCAGUACCAAGAUUAAUACUUCCGAUUUAAAAUUUGAAUCGUUUAUUACCGUUUUUAUGAGAUUUUUAUAUUUCAGCCGUUCAUUUUAAGGCUACUUCGUUCACGUAGACAAAACGAAAUCAAAAAUUAUGAAAUUUGGUUUCUAGAUAGUUCCAGUAGCGUAGAUCAAGUUUAACGGAACCGAUCGCCGAAUCGAAUGUCCCAUCAUCGAAAACAACUUACAAGCACGGGGCCUCCCGUACUUUCGAAAGCAUAGGAGCCUAGCUCUAUAUAGCUAGAUUGGAAUACUAUUGAUAGCAAAAGGUCAUUUUUGCUAUCAAAUUUUUAAUCCUUGAUAAGGAAUCGUAGUAUUAGGAUGAUAUUAAUCCUUAGCGUUGAGUGGUCCCCCUAGGGUUGAGUGGUCUCCACUGAGUUUUAAUAUUUAAUCUAAUGGUUAGAAAUAAUGAAAAGAAUUAAUCCAAAGACUAAAAAUUUGAUAGCAAAAAAGAUUUUUUGCUAUACCAGAAUUUAACCAACUCCCUCUCUCUCUCUCUCUCUCUUCUCUCUCUCUCUUUCCAUUAUAUAUAAUAUAUAUAUAUAUAUAUAUAUAUAUAUAUAUAUAUAUAAAUUGAGUUCCUAUACUUUUAAAAGUACCAAAGUUAUUGAUACUUGUAGAUUUUUGGCCAUUGAUUAAGAGAUGUGCGGUUAGGAUGAUGUGGCCCUUUAGGGUUGAGUGGGUGAUUGAUUGAAUAGUAUAAUCUAACAGGUGAAAAUGAUCAAAAACGUAGAUCUAAUAGUAAAAAAUUUAUAAGCACCAUAGCCGGACUAUAUAUAUAUAUAUAUAUAUAUAUAAUAUAAUAUAUAUUAUAUAUAUAUAUAUAAUACAAGUACCAAGUCAUUAGUGCUUAUAGGUUUUCGGUUUUUGGAUAAAGAUUUGUAGGUUUAGAAUAAUAAUGGUCGAAUAUAACUCUAAGAAUCUAUUUGAAAAAAAUUUGGAAUGUUAAAAGGAUAUUUUUUAUAUUAACCUUUUAAAUAGGGUAAAUAAAAAAGUUCGAAACUUUUCGAGGAUAUAUAAUCAAUUGCCUCUAUAUUAUAAUAUCAAGUCAAACAAACAUAACGUCUUGUUACAAUCAUGAUGUAAUUUGAUUAUGCACUAGAUAAUGAACUUGUGCUAAUCCAUUUGUAUAAACAAAUCCACACCUUCAAGUUAGGUAAAAUUGAUCACUAUAUUUUCUUUGAAUCAAGUCACUAAACUUUAGUUUCCACUUCAAUCAAAUUAUUUUAUUAAGUUUCUCAUAAUUUUUUAAGAAAAAUAUUAUCUGUACACCUAUUAAUAAGUAUAGAAAAAACUUCAAAUACCACCCUUGUGGUUUCACACUUUUUUACUUUAGUACCCUGUGGUUUAAAGUAUAUCAAUUUAGUACCCUGUGGUUUCGCAUUUUCUCACUUUAGUAUCCUGUGGUUUAAAAUGUAUCAAUCUAAUACCCUGUGGUUUCAUUUUUUCUCUUUUCGUUUGCCCUUCUGUUAAUAUUUCGUUAAAUUAUAUACAAAAUACUUUAGAUACCCUACCUAGGUUUAUCGAAUAUUUACUUUAGUACCAUUUAGUUUUAACUUUAUCAACUAAUUUUUUUUAAUUUCCUCUGUUAAUAUUUCGUUAAAUUAUUUUAAAAAAACUUCAGAUAUCCUAUUUAGGUUUAUCGAAUAUUCACUUUAGUACCCUUUAAUUUUAACUCUGUCACUGAUUUAGCGAAAAAAUUAUUGAAAUAGAUAAUAAAAAGAUUAAAAUGAAAUCACAGGGUACUAACUUGAUACACUUUAAACCACAGGGUACUAAAGUGAGAAAGUGCGAAACCACAGGGGCUAACUUGAUACACUUUAAACCAUAAGGUAGUAAAGUGAGAAAGUGUGAAACCACGAGGGGUAUUUGAAGUUUACCCAUAAGUAUAAAUCUAACAACUCAUUCAUAUUAAUUAAGGUCCACAAAAUCUGGUCAUUUUUCAAAAAAAUAAAUAGUUCUUGGAUGAGCGAGGUAUAAAGUUUAAAUCUAAUCUAGGAGUGCAUAAAUAAUAUUAGAUUAAUUUCAUACAGAUCUCUGCAAAUAUAGUGAAUGACAAAUAUAUUCCUAUAAAUUUCAACUUUCAUAUCUUAUUCCUGCAAAAGUCCUGAUAUUUACAAAUAUGUCCCUCUGAUUUAUUACCGUUAGAGAACUGUUUAUAUUUUUAAUUUUGUCAUCACAAAUAUGUCCCUCCAAAAGCCAUAACAGUAUAAUAUAAGAGGGGUAAAAAUCUCACAAACUAAUCAGGAUUAAAUAUUUAACCUAUGCUUAACUAAAUUUUCUAACGGAUACUAACACCAGGGACAUAUUUGAAAACAUCAGGACUUUUGUCGGAACAACAUAUAAAAGUUGAACUUUGUAGGGACAUAUUUGUCAUUAACUAUAUUUGCAGGAACUUGUAUGAAAUUAACCCGAUAAUAUUAUUCAUUUUUCAAACAUAUAUAAUAGUAGUGAUUUCAUUUACCGCAUCAUACUUCAUGUUUUACGGAUAACCAUUAAUCUGUCACAUAGAAAUAAUCUAACUACUAAUUUAGCUAUCAAAAUAUCUUCUCGAGAUGAUGUAACAAUUAAACAAUAGAAAUAUUGAGAUAAUUUAAUAGCUAAUUUGACUAUCAUUAUCCUGUAAUUUUGCAAAUAUUUCUAUUAUUACUUACAUUAAUAAAAUGAUGAAAUUAAAGCCCAGGUGAUCAAAUUGAAAUAAAAAUAAAGUUCAAUGACUAGAUUGAAAAUAAAUAAAUAAAUAAAUAAUAAAGUUUAGUGGUCUAAAUAAAAUUUUAUUUUAUAAUGUGUAAGUUAACAAAAUGUACUCAGACCCCCUCAACUAAUGCUGUUUUGAAAUAAUCUCCUCAACUUUACGGUUUUUUUCUUUUUUUUAAACCUCUACUUUUUUAACUUCUAUUUUUUUUUUUCAGUUUGUAUUAAUAUAAUUAGUACAAGCUAAAAAUUUAUAAUAUUUAAUGGUUCUACAGCUAUAAAUAGUCCAUUAUUUUUAUUUUAUUUGUUGAAAGAUAAUUAAGUUUAUAAAAUUUAAUAUAAUUAUUAAUAAAUUCAUUAAAAUAUCUAAUUAAGUUUUUUUAGAUUAGUCGAUUCAAUAAUAUCAACAAUUAAGAAUAUUUUAAUAAAAUAGUAAGGAUAAACUUUAAAUUGCCUCCCUGUUGUAUAACUUAUUUUUACUUUGUCAUUCUGUUGUUCAAAAAGUUUCUGCUUGUGGUGUUUAUCUCAUUUUCGCUUUGCUACCCCGUUGUUUAAAAAGUAUAACUUUGCCCUGCUAUGGUUUAGCGCAUUUUUUAUUUUGCCAUCCAAUAAUUUUUUUUAAAAAAAAAAAUUUACUUUUCCGUCAUUUUUCACAUAAAGUUUUUUUUGGUGAAAUAAAAAAAUUAAAUCACAGGGGUCAAAGUGAAAUUUUUUGAACCACGGUAUAGCAAAGUGAAAAUAAGCAAAACCACAGGGGAAAAUAUGAAGUUUACUCAUUAAAAAAAUAAUGUUGGACCUUGACUAAUUUUUAGAAAAAUUCUAUAUCAAGCUGCUAAUAAAUGGGCUGGGCUUACCAAAGCCCAACCCUUUAUGGAUGUAAUUGCCUAAUUUAGCCCAAACCCAUUCACACUCUUAACGGGUCAAAAAAUGGAUCCGAUUAGGAUUCGGAUCAAAUAGUAUUUAAUAAUCUGCAAAUUUGCAGCAUACAACCUAUUAGUAUAGUUUUGAUUAACCAAAGAAAGAAAAAAAAAAAUUUGAGAAAAAGGCAGCAUGCGAAUCGCUUUAUUUAUUAUUUAUUUAGGAAUUGAACUAAACUACUGAUUGAGGCAACUAGGCCUCAUAGAGAGAGAGAUGAAAAAAAGAAAAAGAAAAAGGAAAUCUACUUAACACAGUAAAGAUUCCAUAGGUUUUUUAUAGGGUGAAUCUCCACCAUCAUUUGACUUGUGGUGUUCUUUUUUAUUUUCUUGAAAAUUCUUCUAUUCCGGUCCAACUAAAUAACCCAACGCAAAGAGGCAAUUGUUGCUAACUUCCUACCCCCUAAGGCGCCACCUUUGAGUCUGUUCACUUUGUUGCUAACUUCCUACCCCCUAGGGCGCCACCUUUGAGUCCGUUCACUUUCCAAAACCUAUUCACUUAUAUGCAAUUAUGAGAGACGUCUUACUAGGUAAUUGGCCCUUCAACAAUAGUCUAGUAGUUUCACAACCCACGGAAAGGUGGUGGACCGUCUCUGGCUCAUCCAUACAGAAAACACAAACCUCCUCACCACGCCAACCCUUUUUUAGAAAAUUAUCCACUAUUAGUACCUUUCGUGUUAAACUAUCUACACAACAAUUUUAACUUGAUCAGUGAGUUCUUAUCUUCCAGAACAAAACUUAUGUCAAUGAUUCCACCAUCUUAUAGAAAGUUAUAGAGCAAGUUAAUUGAAAACUUUUUGGAUCGGGCCUAUCUCCAUCUAACUUCCUCCCUUCUAUUAAACAACGUAAUGUCAUAAAGCGACUCUUUUAGCUUCAAGAUCUGAUCUCUAUUGUGCUGUGAGCAUGGGAUGAAACCUGACAAAAUCUUACGUCACUUCCACUCAUUUCCUUCGAAAUAAUCCCUCACAUUGCAAGUUUUACUCUCUACCUCACUAAGAAUGCUACGGUAGGGAGGACCGGCCACUCCAGAUGUUCGACCAAAGGCUCACUAUUUGUCCGUCUCCAAUCGAAUAAGUAACUCCAGACUUAAAAUGAGUCAUAGUCGCUAAAACACACUCUGCAACAACUGUGAGUAAAGUCUAAAGGAGGCACCUUCUCUAAGCAUCUUUCAGGAGUUGUAAAGACUUUCAAUAAGAGAGCCCCACUGACGGAUCUUAUUUGAGAGAAACCUCUACUACCAUUUCGCAAGUAGAGCUAGCUUUAAGUUUUUUAAAUCCAAAAAUACUAAUCCUCCCUUCUUUUUACUUCUAUAAACCGACUUUCAAUGCACCAGACAUUGUCCCCAACAACAUAAGUCCCUCCUUUCCAGAAAAAGGCCCUCCGGAGAGCAUCUAUGCAACGUAUAACCCAUUUGGGCGCUCAAAAAAUUGAGAAAAGGUAUGGAGGCAGAUUCGAUAAAAUAGAGUUCACUAGGGCUAGCCUGCUUCUCUGCGAAAGUAGCUUAGCUUUCUAUCCUUCGAUCCGUCUCUCAAUUCUACCUAUAAUGGGCCACCAGUCUUCCUUUCGAAAUUGUUUGCUUGUAUGAGGUAAUCCAAUGUAGAGAAUUGGGUAAGACCCCGGUUUGCACUCUAUGAUCUCAACAAGUGUCUCACCCUAAUGGUCACCUCUACCCAGAUAGAAUAACUCAGACUUAUUCCUAUUUAUCUUGAAACUAGACGCCCAUUCAUGAAGAGAAGGUUUCUCAUUUGUCUUUUCUUAGCCUCAUAAAAAAAGAUUGUGCCAUCUGCAUAUUGAAUAAUAGCAAUCUUUAUUUCUCAAAAAAAAAAUAAAUAAUAGCAACCUUGCAAUCCUCAAUAGGUCCAACCCUUCUUAGUAGAUUAUUACUUUUUUUUUAGAGAAAUGUAGCAUGCUACUCGCUUCAUUUAUUUUUUUUAGAAAUAACUUAGCUGAAAACGUGAAUCAACUAGGAUUCGAACUUAGGAGCUGAGAUACCAACCAUCAAGCCUUUUACUACUUGCGCUAGGGACAGUCGGUCUUAAUAGAUUAUUGCUGAUAGCUCUUCUCAUCAUUCUUGCCAGACCUUUCGCCACCAGAAAAUAGAGAUGUGGGGAAAAAGGAUCACCUCGGAGUAGACUCUUUUUAGCUUUGAUCCAUUUAGAGAGAAUCCCCUUAACCAAAAUUGCAACUUUAGUGUUAGAUAUGCACUGCUCAAUCCAACCACACCACUUGUUGUUCGCCCCAAGCACAUCAAGAUCUUUCUUAGUAAACCCUUAGCUCACUCUGUUACAAGCCUUCUCAAAAUUAGCUUUAGUUCUAACACUUUCCACUCCUAUCCUUGACCACCAACUAACAAUCUUGCUAACAGUAGAAAAGGAGUUCAGAGUUAUCCACCCUUUUAGGAAAGAAGCCUGAGAAAAGGAGAUGAUCUAUAAUUUCAAGUCUGUUUGUGAGUACCUUGGGUAUGAUCUUUUGAACACUGUUGAUAAGAUUGAUAGGCGCUGAAUCAAUAUCUAAUUUAGCUCCCUUUUUCUUGGGAACUAGGCAAAUUUAAGAGUAAUCCAUACGUCCAAAAUUCAUUCAAUCAUCAUACAAGUCCCGAAGAUAUUAAAUAGGUCUACUUUAACCACCUCUCAGAAGCUCUAAUAAAACCUCAAGUUGAAUCCAUCCGAUCCUAAGGCUUUUUUCUCGUCUAAUUGAAAAGUUGCCUUUCUGAUUUCUUCCAUAAAAAAGGAAGAGGUGAGUUGCUCAAGACAAAAAAUUGAUCUACCCCUAAAAAUAUUACUUCAAUCGCCUCAAACAAUGCAACUUAGUUUCAAAUAGUUGCAAUCUAAGUCUCAAAUAAUACAAUUUAGUCUAAAACAGUGCCUAUUUUAUAUGGUACAAUUUUAUUUCAAAUAGUUAAAAAUGAUGUAACUUUUUCUCAAACAAUGCAGCUUAGCCUCAAAUAGUGUAAUUUUGUUUCAAACAAUGCAACUUCUUUUUCUUUUUUCUUUUUCUCUGCUUCUUGGCAUUUCUUAUAGCGACCACGAAACAUAUUGACUUUUUCAGGAGAAUAAAAAAUAUAAUUUUCUUAUUAUUUUUAUUUUAUUCUUUCUUUCUUUCUUCUUCUUCUUCUUCUUCUUCUUCUUCAUCCUCUACAUUCUUUUCCGUUAUCGCACCUCCUUUGUUGCUCUUUGCCACGGUUACUGACCCUGUCCUGAUACGCUCUCCCUUCCUGUCAUUCUCAAAGCCUGCGGCACCCUCAUCGCCGUUGACGUCCAUGACCAUGCCCUUUGUCGCAGUCUUACCUUCACAAUCUAUGGCAUGUCUGAGCCGACAUCAAUAGAAGCAUAGGUGAGGUAAGAGAGAGGAGUGCAACAUCGACGUCGGGGCAGUGGAGAUGGAGGAGAAGAAGAAAUAAGAGGAAGCAAGAGGAGGAAAAGAGAAAGAAAUAGCAAGGAGGAAGGAUAUGAACCUGACAAAGAGACGAAUGAGGAAAAAAGAGAGGGAGAAAAAAUAUAAGAGUAUUUUAGUUAGUUUACUAAAAAAUUCGGACCGAAUUUGCAAAAUCCAAAAAAAAUAGCCCGUUAUUGCAAAAACUAAAAAUUGGUGGAUUUUUUUAUGCAAAAAGUUUAAGACAUAUAGCAAUCAAAUAUCAUUUAACUAAUGUAUUGUAUAAAAAACUAAAUUAUUUAAAAUAUUUAAUUAAUUUUAAACAUAUUAAAAAUAUUUAAUUAGCUUUCUAUAUUUAUAAAUAAAUUAAUAAUUAUAUAGUGUAUAUUAUUUCGCAGGACGAGUAGUAUCCCCACCCCCUACCCCAACUAGGGGUGUAAACGGGCCGGGCGGCCAGUGGGCCGCGCGGUCGAGCAUGACUGCGGGAUGGGUCGUGGCCCGGCACGGGUACUAUAGCACCCAUGCCGGGCUGGCCCGUCCUAGCUCCAUGGGUCAUGUUGGGCUGAGCUACUACGGCCCGAAGGCCCGGGACAGCACGGCCCGUCCCGUGUUGGAUUUGGGCCGUGCUGGGCCGACCUAUUUUUUUUAAAAGUAGUAGGUUGUAGCCUACAUGUAGGCUUGGCUGGCUUUUCUAGGGCCUAUAUUGCCUCGGACAGAAUAAUCGUUGGGUCCUCUUUUUUCUUUUUUUUUUCAAAAUUUUUUUUUUAUUAUUAAUUUUUUAAAAAAGGUUAAAAAAUAAAAAAAAAAAGAUUUUUUGAUCAAAAUGACCAUAAUGCCCUCAUUAACAUUCAAAAAUUUGAUUGUUAGAGAGGGCAUUUUGGUCAAAAAAUAAAAAAUAUUUUUAUAUAUUUUUUUAAAAAAAUUACAUUUUUUUUAAUCUAUAACUGCUACUAAAAACAUCUAAAUUUAUCAUAACAAACAACUCUUCAUUCAUCUUCUUCUACAAAGAUUAAUUCUUCCUACUCUUACACUUUCAAUUUUAAUUUUUUUUCUCAACUUUCAAGUUUACUUUACAAAUAUUUUUAAUUUUUUUCAACAUUUUUUUUUACAAAAUCUCUCCUCAAUUUCACCACACAAAAUUUCAAUUUCAACACAAUAAUUAAUCUCUUUUUUUUUAUUUUUUUUAUUUUUAAAUAUUUUUAUUUAAUUAUUUUUAGUAUUAUUGUAUUUAUUUUUUAUAACAAUGUCGGAUGAAUUUUCUCAUAUAGAUUUUUCUUAUACUGAUUAUACUCAUGAAUAUUAUGUUAGUAAUCAAUCAGAAAUUGUGUCACGCCCCGGAUUACUCGUUUCCCCGGGCACGCCGACAAAUCCGCCGUAUACAAAAAAAAUUUUCCUGUAUACGAAGCGACAGCUGUACCUGUAAUCAAACAAUACUACAACCAAUAGUAUAGAGCUGUUAGAAGAAAUGAUAUAUAUAAAACAGAAGUUCACUAUACAUACAACAUCCUGGUGUACAAAACACUCGCUCCAGCGAGAUACAACAAAAGUAUGUAUAUGAACUCAAAAACUACCACUGCCUGUAGCUGAUAUACUCUAGCUCAGCAGCAACUGGGAAGGGAUCUAACUCGCAACUCCCUUUCCACGGUUCGUAUUAGCAGCAGCAGCAGCCGAAGAAGAAACCUCUGCAAAAGAUUCCAACAACUGGGCGUGAGAACUACUACAAAAGUAGUCCUCAGUAGGUACCGCUACCGACUUCAACGGCUCACCUACUAAGUCUACAGAUGUAAACAAGUAUAGUAAGAAAACUGAAAUAAAUCUACAGCUAUAUGCACCUAUACUAUCUUGGUCGAACACCAACAAUCUGUAGGAAAUAGUAAAGCCUGACCCAAUCUCACUAAGGACUGUGAACACACUCGUCCCGCCUGUCGAAGCUACACAAUCUGACACCAAACCAAGUCGCCAAUGAAAAGCAAGUCCAAGCAGGACUAAACGACACCAACGCAAAAGCAUAAAGCCCGACUCCGGAGUGGCACUCGUGAGCGCUAUCCAACCGAGUAUGCAAGCGUAUCUCUGUCGAGCUCAAUCAAGCUCUCACAGGCUAUAGUCAAGUAAACAGGGUCUAACAACUGAACUCACGUGCCCUCGGCACAAUCUGAUGCAAAAAUAGCAAUCUGGGUCUACCGUCAACCUCAACGACACCCGACAAUCCGGAACAGCCUAAACACUGCUGUAAAAAUACACUCGGCACCUCAGCACGAGCGUAAAUAUAUUCUACACUAUUCUGGGUAUUCAUCGCCCACAAACUGCGGCGAUACUAACAAACUACUGCUCACAGAGCUAAAUCUGGUAGUUUGUUCAAAUGGCGGCGUAGAAGUGUCAGUUUUCUCCUAAGUCAAAUCCAAGCCCAACAUGCAUAUUUUAGCUAAUUUUUUAUGCUCCAAUUCAAGUUCAUAGGCAUGAAAUUUCAAGAAUCGAGCUAAACAAUAUACCAAACAAAGCUAAAAAUACAUAUUGUCAACACAUAUAGCAUUAGGAGGAAACCCGUAGAAUUCGGUAAGCAUCACUUUAACCCACCACGAAAGCACGUCCAACAACGGCGAGAAGUCGAAAGAAGCGAAACCGCAUGCUCGCCCGGCCUCCCCACGACGCUAGCAUGACGAACGCACACUCGAACGGCACCGCGGCACGACAUCGGCGACAAUCUGACUCCACCCGAGCUCCUCCUUACGUACGGCUGAGCACAAGAGGAAGAGAGAGAGAGCACAGCAAAACCCCUCCUCAGCCUCUCUCUCCAUCCUAUAUAGUGUAGAGGGGAAAAGGUGACACAAACGAGGCAAGAAAAGACCAAAAAGCCCCUUACCUACCCUAGUGUACCGGUACCACUCCAAUGUUGUACCGGUACCCCGCAGCAGAAUGGCCAACCCGAGAGCAGUCUGUGCAGAAAAAAUGCACUGGGCACCGGUACGCCCUUGUGUGGUACCGGUACCAAUUGCUGAAAAUAUGAAAUUUGCAGAUUGCAAUGCUAACUCUCUGCUCUCGCGUCCCGCUGAGUCUACUUUGCGUCUAUUUCGCGUCAACAGGACUCGGACUUUUUCCGACACUCUCUCUAGAGCCGUCGACAAGCCUCAGCUGCUGAAUUCCAGGGUUACUACAAACUGCAACUGGUGGUUCUACACAAGAUGACGACGGCUCGCAACCUAAACCAAAUUUAGACGCAAGUUCUAAAAAAGCGUCUAAACAAAGAAUAAGCGAAGUAUGAAAGUACUUCAAUAUCAAAGAAAUUGAAGGACAAGACAUGCGAGCUGUUUGUACUAUAUAUGGAGUUCAUUAUUCUUGUGAUAGUUCCGAUGAAACAGGUCAUCUUAACAGGCAUAUUUAGAAACAUCAGGUAAAAGAAAGUAAAGAAACAAAACUAUCACAACUUGCUUUUACUUCUAGCGGAGUUAGUACAUUUCAAUCGAAGAGAACUUGCUUGUAUAUUGUAGGAGCUGAACAGCCAUAUAAAUUUGCCGAAUGUCCAUAUUUUUAACACUAUGUGAAAAUAGCUUUGAAUCCCGCAUACAAAAAAAUUUCUCGAAAUACUAGUCGCAAAGACUCAAUAAAAGCAUUUCUUGAAUAUAGACAAAAUUUGAUUUCAAUUUUAGAAAAUAUGAAUUCAAAAAUUUCACUCACUUUCGAUAUUUGGACUUCAAGAAAAGAACGUAGUUUUAUAUGUAUUACUGGACAUUGGAUUGAUUCUAAUUGGAUAUUACAAAAAUGAAUUAUUGGUUUUCAAGAACUUGAGUUUCCAUAUACUGGUAUUCAUAUUGCUCAGGCUAUUGAAAAUGUUUUGCAAAUUUAUAACAUUAGCCAAAAAAAAUUUUCAAUUAGUUUUGAUAAUGCUAGCAAUAAUAGAACCGCAGUUCAAAUUUUGAAAAAUAAUUUGCAUCCUAUCUUAAAUGAAAAAUUAUUUCAUAAUAAAUGUGCAUGUCAUAUUAUAAAUUUGUGUGUAUACGAGGGAUUAAGAAUAAUUAGUCCACAAAUAAAAAAAAUAAAAGAUUGUGUUAUGUUUAUUCAUAGCUCCGGUCCAAGAAAAUAUGAUUUUAAAAGUUUAUGUAGAUAAUUGGGCCAAAAGUAUAAAAAAAUUUAUUUUCAAUGUUCAACACCGAUGGAAUUCCAUAUAUAAAAUGUUGCAUUAUUAUUAUGAGUAUAGAAAUAUUUUAUCUAUUUUCUGUAAUGAGAAAAUACAGUAUAAUUUCAUAACUAAUGAAGAAUGGGAUAUUGAACAAAUUUUUAUAAUUUUUUGCAACCAGUUUAUGAGUCAACCAAACUUUUGUCAAGAGUAUAUUAUCCUACUUCAUGUUAUUUUCUUAAUCAAAUUUUACUUAUGAGUAGUCAUUUUGUUGAAUAUAGAAAUUCUUUUCUUUUAGGUCAAAUUGUUUUUAUGAUGGAAUCUAAAUUUAAAGAAUAUUGAGAAGAAAUUCCUAUUGUACCUCUUUUGGCCUCUAUAAUGGAUCCUAAAAUUAAAUUAAAUGGAGCAUAAAUUGCUCUUACUCAAUAUAAUGAAUUUUUAGAAAUUAAUUCAACAAAUUAUUCAAAUAGAAAAAAUAUUUUUCAAAUAGUAAAUAGUAUUUUAUGUGUGUAUGGUGUUUAUGUAACUACUUCGGGUAGUAAACGACCAUAUUCUUCACAGUUAUAAAGCAGCAGCAGUAGUAGUGGUAAAACUAGUAAAAAUAUAAUUUUAUCUUUAGUAAGAAAACAAAAACAAACGGAUUUUAAUGCACCUUCUUUUAAUGAAUUUUAGUUUUACUUACAAACCGAUUUUUCAAAUCUUUUUAAUGAAGAUGAAUCAGAAAAGAUAUUUUAGCCUGGUGGAAAACACAUGAAAGUACAUAUUCCAUACUUUCUGCCAUGGCACGUAAUCUACUAACUGUGCACGUUUCAACAAUGGCAUCCGAGUUUGCUUUUAGUGCAGGUGGAAGAAUAUUGGAUGAUUAUAGAAUCCGGCUUAAGGAGGAUGCAGUAGAGGUUUUAGUCUGCUUAAAAGAUUCGUAAGCUACAAAAUUAAGAAUACAGAGUUCAUGAGUUUACAUUUUUAGAUGAAACAGAAUUAACUACCUAAAAAUAUACCAACACUUGUGGCAUGCUAGAGUGCAAUCGCCCCAAUCUCCUCACUGUUGCUUAUUAGUCUUUGCACCUCUUCUUUUUUAUUUGGUACAUCUCUUUAGUAGGUACCUCUUUUUUAGGUAAAAAAAAUGAUGUAAUGAAGAACAAAAUUAUAUUGAAUUUUUUUCUCUAUUGUUUGCUAAUUGGUUGUAUAAACAAUGCCAUUUUAUUUUAAAUAUAUUUUUGAUUUUUUGGAUUUUUAUAUUUUUCUCCAAUGUAAUUAUAUAAUAUGACUAAUUCAAAUACCAAUUUUAUUAUUUGUGUUUUAAUUUUUUAAUUUUAUAAAAUUUUUAAAUGANAUUUUAAAUAUAUUUUUGAUUUUAUAAAUAUUUGUACUUUCCUCCAAUGUAAUUAUAUAAUAUGAUUAAUUCAAAUUUUACAUAUUUUUUGUGCUUUUUUUUUUUUCAAAUAUCAAUUUCUCUUCAAAUAAUAAAAAAUUAUGAAAAAAAAUUAAUAUUAAUUUUAUAUUAAAAAGAUAAAUUUAUUGUUUGUGUUAUAAUUUUUUUAAAAUUUAUAAAAUUUUUGAAAGAGUUUUAAAAAUGAUGGGUAUAAUUGUGUAAAUUAAAAACUAUAAGUUAAAAAGUUAUAAUUUAAACUCUUUUUCUUAAAAAAAUAAUUUAAAAUAAAAUAUAAAAAAAGCUGGAAAAAAUGCCUAUUGGCUAUUACCGGGCUGGCCCGAAGCCCAGCCUAGGCCCGGCCCGGCCUAUCUUGGGCAGGCCAGGUGUCGGGUCGGGCCGGGCUGAACCUUACACCCCCAACCCCAACCUAGGGAUGUCAACGGGUCGUUAGGUCGGAUUUUCAAAACCCGAACCGGACUCCAAACCCGAAACCCGAACCCGAUGGAUUUUAAAAAUUCAUAUCCAAAGCUGAACUCGACCAAAACUCCGAAACUCGAACCCAAAAAUUCGAAUCCGAAAUAAUUAUUUCUGUUUUCAAUAUUUCAAAAUGUAUUACAUUAAAUUUAAAUUUUAAAAAUACAAAUUCAAAUAUAACAUCAAAAUUUCAUAUAUAUAUUAUAUAUAGUAUAAAAUAAAUUCGGGUUCGGGUCGGGUUCGGUCAAAAUCCAUAUCCAUAUCGGAAUCCAUAUCCGUCGUUCUUUUGUUUUUGAUAUCUAUAUCCGAAACUAUAUCCAUUUAGCAUCGAGUAAAUUGGUUCUGUUCGGAUUCGAAUUCAGAUAAAAUUUUGGAUAUCUGUACCCAUUGACAUCCCUACCCCCACCCUGUCUUCGCAAGUGGAAAAUUCUUCUUCUUUUUUCCCGAUUUAUAUUUUUGUUAGAGACAAAAUUCUCCCCAUCCGUGCCCUAUAAGAGACAGAUCGGUGUGAAAAUAUAGUUAUGUGGAAAAAAGGGAAAAAGCUAUGUGUACACCCAAGAAUGAGUGUACAUUCUAGACUCCACCCAUCCAAGGGUGGGAAAUCACUCGCUAGUCAUAUGAUGUGAUUUGUAUAGUGAAUGCCAUCUUUUGAUAGGAUGUGUGUAAAGCUUACACCCACUUUUGGAUGUAUAUCUAGUAUUGCUCGGAAAAAAUUGUCUUAAUCCGUCUUAAACGAAUUUUUUUUUUUAUAAAUAGUCUUCCUGAAAAUUGUAUUUAUAAAAAUAGGCCUCCUUCAAAAUUUAUUGUAAAAAUAGUCUUCAAAUAGGCCAGGUCAGCUCGUGGGGUAUAUAACGCAUAUAUGCGGUGAAUGGUUCACCGCAUUCAGAUAUGCGGUGAACCAUUCACUGCAUUUGUGGGUCUAGGCACAUCGCGCGGGAAAACCGAGAAUGCGGUAAAUGGUUUACACCCAACCGAUGGGGGGAACAACAUGAAGGCGGUGAAUGUUUACCGCCUUUAUAGGAUUUUUAAAUCCUUAUGAAAGCGGUGAACAAUUUACCGCUUUCACUUGAAAGCGAUAAAUGGUUCACCGCUUUUAUCUUCUCCCGCCAGCUCACUGCCCACGUGACAGUUUUGAACCUAUUUUCGUAAAUAAAAGUUUGAGAGCCUGUAUUGGAGGAGACUUGUUGGAUAAAAAUCCCGUCUUAAACCCCUACAAGGCCGGCCCAUUACCAAUACCAAGCCCACGAACAAUUGACAUAGAAAUCAUCGAGCUAAAAAUAUAAUAUAAUAUAUAAAAUAUAUGUAUAUUAUUAUUAUUAUUAUUAUUAUUAUUAUUAUAUGUCUUAAGUACGAGAUACGCUUUUGAUCAACUCCCCUCCUCUCUCUCUCUCCCCCCUACGUUUAUUCCACAGCAAUGCUCCGUCGCAAACCAAAACAAAAUCAAAACGAAGCCCACGCCCAAAUCUGAAAUCUCCAAGCGCAAAGCUUCUUCCCCCAUUUCGUCCCCCAAAAUCUCCUCCACCGCAGCCUCCGUCGCCGCCCCCUCGCCGGAACCCUAGCUCCCUCCGAUCCGUAAGUAGUAGCCUCUCGUCCUCUCGUCCUCUCGUCCUCUCUCUCUCUCUCCCUCUCGAUCUCCUCUCGUUCAUGUCGCUCCUCUCCUCCCCCCCUCGCUCUCGGAUAGCGAGCUAGGGCUUCGCUCGAACCCUCCUGGAUUCGCCCUUCCAUUAGGGCUUGUCGGCGAGGAUCGGGUUAGGGUUUGCGCGCCGGUGGAAUGAGAGGUCAUGGAGCAAGAAGAGGAGCGGUUUUGAUCGGUUCGUAGCUGGCGCAAAGGACUCCUCUUUGUAUCGGGAUUUGGGUGGUUUGUGGUGAAUAGUAUGGGGGAUUCGGCUGAUCUGGUGCUGGAGUUCUUGAGGAAGAACCGGUUCACGAAGGCCGAAGCCGCGCUUCGAGUCGAGCUGGACAGCCGCAGCGAUUUGAAUGGGGUUCUCGAGAAGCAGAAUCCGGAAGCUGGGGAAGAGAUUGGGGUAGCUAGUAGGGUUACUCAUCAUGGUACAAGCACGAUGAGUGGUGGUGAGCUCUCGAAUGAGUUCAUUGUGAAGGAGAUUUCAGAAACUAAGAAGGGUUUCGGUACGAAUCGAGUUCAGCAAGAGAGUAGUUCCGGAGAUCUUUACCCUCUAAAUUUGCCUUCAAAUUUGGGCAAGGACAAUGGGAGCAUCGAGGAGAAGUUUACGGAGCUAUUGUUGUCUGAGGAACCAAAACAUCGCCGUAAUGGGAGGGGUAAAGUUAAAGGUGAGCUUGUGUUAGACAUUAAUCAGAACUCUGGUUUUACGGCUAACAAUUCAGAGAAGGGUUGUUCAGUGAAGACGGUUUUCCCGUUUCCUGAUGUAAGUGCGAGCGCCUCAUCAAGUGACGAUCAAGUCCUUGGUCAUGGCGAUGAUAGAAAUGAUGUGAAGAAGAAAGAAGAGUUUAACGAUAUUAGGGAAGAGAGAAGCGAGCACCUAAAUAUUGCACAGAGUAAUAAUUUGCGGAGCUUUGAUUUACCGCUCAUCGGUGAGAGACAAAGGGAAGACCUUCCGAGGCUGCCGCCUGUGCGAAUUAAGUCUGAAGACAAGCUAGUUAAUAUGCAUUGGGAAGACAAGGUUGACCGGGAUGGAUCUGGAGUGAAGCUCUGUAGUGCGGACAAUACCUUUAUGAUUGGGCCUUUUCUUGAUGCUCCGGCUGGGCAAGAUAUGAGCGCUUCAGGUAUGUUGGUAAUUUAGCCCUCUGUAACUCUGUUAUCCUUCGAGAGUUAAACGUAUGCACAUACCCUUUACUAGCUCACAUUGUGACAUAGUCUCUAAACUUUUCACUUAGACAUUCAAGUUUCAUCCAUAACAGUAGAGAAGAUUGAAGAAUUUGGAGAAGAUCGAAGAAUUUUACCUUCUAGCUAGUCUCUAAACUUUUCAAGUUUCAUCAAGUGACGAUCAAGUCCUUUGGGUGCGCUUAUUUUCCAGUGAAAUCUUGUUAAAUGGACAAGAAACUGAAUGAUAGGGAUAAUGGAUAGAUUCUCUUUUAUCCUAGAAAUGGAAUUACUACUCAUUGAUAACUACCUUUCUUUGAUUUGAUGCCUUAUUAGAAAUGCAUUCCAAGGAGCUUCUUGAUCAUGUGAUUAAUUUUAAUUCUUGCCUUUUAAGGUUUUCUUCAGUAAUCUUUACUAAGAGUAGCAUUUACCACACUCAUCAUUGUAAAGAUACUGACAUUCUAUUCUUGUAUGAAGUUUUGAAUUUUGGGAGGUUGCAUAAGAUUGUGGUUUUAAAGCUGGAAGAUUCAAUUGUAGGUUGUAACUUCUGAUUUAUUGUAGAGGCAAGUUAAUUCGAGAUCAAAUUCAAGAAGAGUCUUUUAACUCUUGGUACAUGCCUUGCUUUGAUAAAAAGAGUGUGUUAACCCUCGGGACAUGCCAUGCUUUGAUAAACACCUGAUUAUUUAUUUGAAAUUUUAUCUCCAGAAAUUACUUCAAAUGAUGAAUUUCCAGAGACCAAGCAGCCAGGUUGUAUCACUUUUUAUAUUUCAGAUUAUGAUAGAUUUGAACAUCAUAUUUGUAGCAUCUGAUAAGAAAUGAAUUAAGUAAACAUCAUUUCUUCUAGGAAUAAUAGAAUGUAAACAAAACUGCUUAAAAUAUCUCUAAAAUAGAUUUGGCUGUUAGUUGAUUGUUGCAAGUUACAGCAACCUAUUUCCUUGAGCAAAAUGUUUUAAAAGUAUACCUUUAAUAUUUCUCCCUGUUAGGCUGUCUAAUUUGUCAAACUCCAUUAUGUGUCUAAGGUAAACAACUUGCUUCUCGUCUUUCACUUUUUUGCUGCUACUGCAAAAAAUGGAAAAGGUUGAGGCAGUCAUGAGGCCAGAUUUUGCUAAUACAUUGAGAUGUAUAUGCUUCCAAAUUUUUCCUGAAAUGGGGUGGUGCUGGUUGGGUCCAUAUUGAAAUGAGCACUGUUUAUUUAAUUGCUAUGUCUUGUAGAAGGAGAUAACAUAAGAUGACUGUUGGGCAUAACUUUGGUUGAUAUAAGGUUGACUAGAUAAGAGAUAAGAGGGCUGAAGGAUGAUAAAGUUGAAAUCAAAGAUUGCUUUGUUUGAAAAACAAAAUGAUAUUUUCCUCUGUGGAGACAGAAAUUUCUUGGUCGAUUUUCACUUUGGUUUAAAUUUUCUUUGGUCAUUAAAUAGAUGAUGUAACAUAGAUACGAAACUGGCUUGAGUGGUCAUUUAAUGCAAGGCAUGUUGCUCAGUUAGUCCCAUAUAGUAAAAGCAAUCUGAACUUGCAAAACUGAAUUGCAGUCUGAAGUUGCAAAAGUGAAAAUCUAUCUUGCCAUGCAAAACCCCUGUGGGGAGAUGGGAUGUAUGUUACUUUGUGUUGUUGUUUGACUUCAAGCUCUAGCAGACAAUUUAGCUUUUACUUGUUUAUUCUUUCCUUUUUUCUUUCUUUCUUUCUUUCUUUCUUCUUUUUUUUUAAAAUUUUUUUUGAGAAACCAAUUUGGGGUUUAUGUUCUUCCUGCUUUUUUUUUCUCUUAUAAAGCCAAGUUGGCCUGCACCACUCUAGAACAUAGUCCUUGUUGUUAUUGAAAUAUCAUCAGACUAUCUAACAAGUUACAUUAUGAUAUUUAACAAAAUCAUAUGUAAUUCAAUAAUGCUAUUUGUCCACUCUGCUACUUUCCGUGGUGUUUGUUUUCUGCAUUUUUUAAUGUGUAAAAUGUUGAUAACCUGCUGGAUUUGUCAUGAUUUACAUUUUACCUGCUCUGAUAAUUAAAAUUUACAUGUAACCCCUUGUUUAGGGGAGUAAAGGGCAAGUCACAUAUUUUUAUGGUGGUGCCUGUGGUUUUAGCCUUAGUCAAAUUUCAACUUUGUGUUUAAAUCUUAAUCUUUUUGAUUUGUAUCUUUAGGUGGGAAGCGAACAAUUGGAACUAGUUGGUUGUCUGUGAGCCAAGGCAUUGCUGAGGAUACUUCAGAUUUAGUAUCUGGUUUUGCAACUGUUGGCGAUGAAUCAAUUGACUAUCCAAACGAGUACUGGGAUUCUGAUGAAUAUGAUGAUGAUGAGGAUAUCGGAUACACACGACAACCCAUUGAGGAUGAAGCAUGGUUUUUGGCUCAUGAGAUUGACUAUCCUAGCGAUAAUGAGAAGGGAACCGGUCAUAGUAGCGGUUUCGAGCAACCAGAUCGCCUCCAAACAAAAGAUGAAGAUGACGAUCAAUCUUUUGCAGAGGACUCUUACUUGUCAGGUGAACAAUAUUGUCGGGAAAAGAAUAUUGAACUAAUGGCGUCUUCUGAGGUGCCAAUAAUAGAUGAAAAUUGUUUGAUAGCUCAAUAUGAUGGGCAACUUAUGGACAUCGAAGAGCUAACAUUAAUGCGGGGAGAACCAGUUUGGGAGGGUUUUGUUACACAAAGCGAUGAACUAGUUUUGUUAGGAAAUGGGAAUGUUUUAGAUGAUUCUGAGCAGGCUCGGGUCAAUGGUCCUUUGUUAGGAGGUGAUCAACAUGAUUCAGUUCGGUCAAUUGGCGUGGGCAUGAAUAGUGAUGCUGCUGAUAUCAGCAGUGAGGCAUGUGAAAGCUUGGUAGGAGGAGACAUAGAAUACGUUCAUGAUAGCAAUGUUGGUAAAACUAGUAAGACCAAUCUGAAUAGUUCGAAGAAAGAAAAUGUAAAGGUGACAAAACAGGACCAAGAUAACUACAUUUUGGCUUCUGAAAAGGGUAUUUUUCCAACAGGAACAAGUAGUCUUGAUGGUGGGUUUUCUUUCCUACCUCCAUUAAGUACUGGAGACAUAGCGAAUGCGGACUCUGGUAAAUCAUUAUGGUCUGAGGAAGGUAAUGUUUUUGUCAGCGAUGAUGCUGAUGAACAUGCAAAUGGAAUGGGUACAGAUGAUAUGCUUGCUGCAUGGAGAAGAAAAAGUAGCGAUUCUUCCCCUGUAAGGAGUUCAAGAGAUGCAAAAACUUCUGAUGUUAAUAGAUCAAGAGACUCAACUGCAUCGUCUGCAUCGGAUUACGCCUUUGCUGAAACAAAGGAUAUUGAGAAGCUGAGAGAUCACAAAAUUGAUGGUGCACAGGAUGAUGCUGUGGCAAAUUUGGAGGAUGAAGAAGUGGCUGCAUUGCAGGAACAAGUAAGGCAGAUAAAGGCUCAGGUGGAAGAGUUUGAAACCUUCAACCUUAAGAUUGUGCAUAGGAAAAACAGGUAUAUUCGGUUCUUAUUCCACUUUUUAUUUCAUGAACGUGAUUAAUAAGGAAUCCACCUAUCCAUUUUCUUUGUUAAAAUAAUUGGAGACCCUCCCAAUUACAUACUUUGGCUGGGGAUUCAAUUCAAUUUGAGGAAUUGCGGAAUUGCUGCUAAAAUUAACAGAAUCUGCGAGUCAACUGACUAAAAUAGCUUAAACAGAAUCAUCAAAAUGUUGAAGGGGUGUCAGUUAAAAAAAAAGAGAGGAGAAAACAGACUUAAAGUGUCUAUCUCCAAAUGGCCUAUAUUUCAGGAGUGUUUGCACAUUUUCUACUUUUUCUUUUUGCAUGUGGCACUAUCCUGGAUUGUGUAAUUCAUGAUAUAUAACUUCUUUUUUCCUCUUUCAUAUUACAUCAAAUAGUUAAACGGAGUUUUCUUCUCGUUAUACAUUUGAUUUUUUAUUGUUUUCCCUCUGUCGUUUUUGCUGAUAUUUUACCAGAACUGGCUUUGAAGAAGACAAGAAUUUCCAUGUUGUUUUGAACUCUGUUAUUGCUGGGCGAUAUCAUGUUACCGAGUAUCUCGGGUCAGCUGCCUUCAGCAAAGCUAUUCAGGCACAUGACUUGCACACCGGAAUGGAUGUAUGUGUGAAAAUCAUAAAGAACAAUAAAGAUUUUUUUGAUCAAAGCCUUGAUGAAAUCAAGCUUUUGAAAUAUGUCAACAAGCAUGAUCCGGCGGACAAGUAUCACAUUCUGCGCUUGUAUGAUUACUUCUACUAUCGGGUAAAAACUAUCAAACUCUUUCAUUUCUAUUUUGAGUCUUAUAUUUCAUUGAAUUUUUUUUUCUGAAAGUUCAUUAGUAGUGAUUUUGGAUUACAGCAUGGUUAAGUGAAACGUGCUAAAAUAAUGGUAGAUGUAAAGGAGAAUAGAACACCUUUUGUACUACACUAGAGUUGCUCUAGAGCUUGUUUAAUUUAGACAGUCCUCUUAAGCUCUUAGCCAGUGUUAUAAUGGCAUCACCUUGAGAACCUUGAUUAUAUCAUGGCAUUUCAUAUAAUGGAGUGCACAGUCAUCUCAUUAUCCUUGGGUCAUAUCGUUUUUAUUUUUCUUUGAUGUUGUCAUGGAACUCGAAGAUUUCAUGAUUUGCCUGUUGGACCUGAACUAGUCCAAUUUAAAUUUCUAUGUUUAAGUCACAGUUCUAUCAUCCAGAUCAAAACUUUGAAACAACAUCCUUCCUGACAUUUUUGACAUUUUUGAUUAAACUCAGGAAUUUGGACAGGUUUAGUGCAAAACCUUUUUUUUUAAGAAAGUUACACACACAUACACACACAUAUUUAUAUAGAUAUAGCUUGUUUAAUUUAGAGAGUCCUCUUAAGCUCUUAGCCAGUGUUAUAAUGGCAUCACCUUGAGAACCUUGAUUAUAUCAUGGCAUUUUCAUAUAAUGGAGUGCAUAGUGAUCUUAUUAUCCUUAGGUCAUAUUGUUUUUAUUUUUCUUUUUUGUUGUCAUGGAACUUGAAGAUUUCAUGAUUUGCCUGUUGUACUUGAAGUAGUCCAAUUUAAAUUUCUAUGUUUAUAUCACAGUUCUAUUAUCCAGAUCAAAAUUUUCAAAACAACAUCCUUCCUGAUAUUCUUGACAUUUUUUAUUAAACUCGGGAAACUGGAUAGUUUUAGUGCAAAGCCUUUUUUUUUUUCUAAAGAAGUUACACACACACACGCGCGCGCACACACACACACACACACACAUAUAUUCUAGCUUGCUUCUCUUGUUAAUGGCGAGCUUGCCCAUUCUGUUUGCAGACCUAAAUUUGUAGUCGAUAAAUCUGCUUUCAAAUUGAAAUUUCAGAGUCUACUGGGCAAACUAAUAUGCUUUAAUGUCAGAAAGGUUUGGUUUGAAGCUGGCCAAUUUGUAAUCUUUUUCUUCAAACUGUGUCCCAGUGACCAAACUUGUACAUUAGUAACUAGGUAAUUUCUUUAACUUUAGCUUGCAGUAAUUAGUGCAGUUCUAGUUACAUGUCAAGUACCUAGUCUUGUGUGACUUUUAAGUACCGUGCAAUUUAUGUGCCUUUUCAACUGCCCAGUCAUUUCUCUAGCAUUACUUGCGCAAAUAAAGCUUCUAUCAUGUCAUAUAUGAACAUGUUUAGUGAAGAAUAGGAGUUGGUUCCUUCUGGGACUGUUAAACUAUUCAAUUCGCAACUUUUCUUUGGAUACGAAUAGGUAUGGCUGCGCUGGUUGUCAAUACUGACCGGAAUAACCAGGUUGUAGCCUCUUUCAUGGAUUCAGAAGAAGUUUACAAACUUGUGUAUAUAUAUCUCUUGUGUAGCCAGUGGUGUGACAAAUUAGCUAGUAUAAAUGCCCUGGUAUGCUUCGAGUUACUUUUGUGUCCAAAACAAGAAUGCAAUUAUGCAACACAUCCUUAGCUGGAGAUGGGUGAUAUAGUACGCAGCAUCCUAGUUUGCCCUUGCUCAUCUCUUAAUCCUGUGAUAGAACUGUACAGAGAACCACGAAUUUUGGUGUGGUAAAUGUCUUUAUGCCGUAGCUUGACUUUGGUGUGUCAGUCAUCUUCCUUAUUAUUGUCUGUUAUCUAACAUAACUGGUAAUAUUAGAUGGCAAUUGGCAAGCACUGAUAGUUGCUUGAUGCUCUUUCAACCUAUUCGUCUUGUAACUUUUUGUAAUUUAGUCUUUCCUCGGCCGUUGCUUGUUUCUUGACUUCUUAGAGUGCUGAUGGUCUUCAAUGACUGUAGUUUUAAUCCAAAACCUGAAAGUGCACUAUUUGAUUAUGGUGCUUAGCAGACAGCAACAUGCACAAAUAAGCGAGCAACGUCGUUUGGUAGGAGAAAGGUCAUUUGGCGACAAUACUGGUGGGGAGAGAGAGAGAGAGAGAUAGAGAGGGCACUGUGGUACUGCUGUGUAGAUUAGGGUUUGAUUAAUGUUAGCUAGAGCCAUUAUAUAAAAUGAAUUGAUUGUUGUGAGACAAAUGGCAAUUUGAUUGAAGAUCAUUUUAUCAGAAAUUUCUAGGUAGGGCUUUAUCAAGUAUGUUGGGCAAGUCUAAAGAGCUUUUUUGGGAAACCAAUGCUAAAAAACCUAUCAGACAGGGCGUUAUUUCUGCCUGGACUGGAUACCAGCCCUAUAUAUAUUUAAUGGUGCCUAUAGACAUUGAUAGGACUCUAGCUGAUGUUUCAGUUAAUUAUCUUUUUAAGCCAUUGCCUUGUACAUUAGAUAACAUAGGAGAAAUUCUAAAUUUAUCUUCUAAGUUUGGAAUCUUAAAGCCUACAGAUAACAUAGGAAAACUUUCUAAGUAAUUGUAAGUUUGGCAUCUUAAUCAGAACGUGAAGAUUAAUAAUGUCACAUGCAACUUCUUAAGAAUUUUAGGCUGUGGAAUAUUUUCAUGCUGCCUUUUAGUUUUAUGCCAUUUCUCUAUGAUCCAUUGUUAAGCGAAAAGAUCUAGUUCGUUGGGUGUGAAAAAAAAAAAACAAGAGAAAUGAGAAAAAGAGGAAAAAUAAAGUAUACAAAUAUUUAUAUGGUUCAACCACUGGCUUAUGUUCACAGGCGAAGACGGAGCGUAGACUUUCAUAAAUAAUCCAAGCACAGUACAAAAGAUGACUCACAAAAACCCUGCCUUCAAAAUACACCCUUGCUCUUUCUCAUUUUCAGCCCCAAAUCAAUGGAAUAAAAGAUAUAUUUAUAUUGGUGCCUAAAAUCCAAUAAGACUGAAUAAUCUCAAUAAGAUUAGGCAUAUUCCUAGCUUAACUUAAUAGGUUGUGAGGAAUAGAAUAGGGUUGGGAAACCUUGUGGUUCAAGAAUUUGAGGCAUAUCGAGCUAUCUCCACCUUGUCUUGAAUUCUUCAUCUUUUGCCAAAACCCCAAUGGUUCCUCGAGUGCUACUGCACAGACAAAUUGUCCAUGGAAUAUUGAAUUUGGUCAUCAAAAGAGGCUUAAUGAGCAAAUCUGCUUGGUUCUUUAGAGAACCAAUCUUCUUCCUCUCCAGUUAACGCCUUGUGCAACCUCAUUGCAUUAGAACGACUUACAUCUAAACUUGUUGAAUAGCGAAACUGCUGGAGCAAUCACACUUCUUGAUCUCAAAUUUCAUCAACAUUUUAAACACCCACUUGAACAAUCAGACUCUGAUAUUAGUUUCUUAUGAAUUCGCAACUUGCUUUGAUACCAAAAUUGCUUUGAUACCAGUUUGUUACGAUAAAAGCGGAAAUGAUUUAGUUCAUCGGGUGCGAAUAUACAAAUGAGAAUCGAAAAGAAGAGAAGAAAAAUAAAGAAUACAUAUUUACGUGGUUCGAUUACUCAUCUAAGUCCAUGGGCGAAGAUGGAGCAGAGACUUUUAUUAUAAAGUCAAACACAGUACAAAAGAUGCCUCUCACAAAAAAUAAAAUAAAAUAGAGAACACUAUUUACGUGGUUCGACCACUGGUCUACGUUCAUGGGCGAAGAUGGAGCAAAGACUUUAAUUAUAACCCAAAUAAGUACAAAAGAUGCCUCAUAAAAAAACCCUAGCAUCCAAAAUGCACCUCUACUCCCUAUCAUCUGCCGCACCAAAUCAACGAAAUAAAGAAUAUAUUUGUAUUAGUGACUAUAAUUCAAUAAGACUAGGAAUACUCUUAAUAAGAUUAGGUAUAAUCCUAGCUUACAAGUUGAGAGAAAUAGAAUAGAGUUAGGAAUUGUUGCGGUUCAAGAAUACGAGACAUAUCUGACAUCCAUCAGUAGAAGCAAGAAUUGUCUGCUGAUAAUGCUUUCAUUUUUUUCCGCUGCUAUUACAGCUAUAGAGCUAUAUAUUUCUAUUUCUUUUUUACUUGGAACCAAUAUAAUUCUUUAUGUCCAUUAUAUUAGUUGACAAUUCUAUAUGUGGCAUUUGUUUCUAUUAGAAGGUUGUGUAUCUUCAUUCUUUUUGUCGAAUAACUUCUCUCCUCGGAUAAAUAUGCUAUGAUAUUAUAUUAUGGGCUUAGUUUACUAAAUGGGAAUAUCGAUAACAAUCCCUUUUUGGAAGAUGAUCUAUUAUUGUGUUAAUUGCACCAUUGGUUCCUAAGCUUUUGCUCGAAUUUUUGCUUUCCUGAUCGUUUAAUUUUUUCAAUUGAGUCCCCAACAUUUAUUACUUUAGUCAACUAAGUCCCUGCAGUCAAAAAGCCCAGUAAUUCCAAUAGAAACUGUAAUGUAGGACAGAAUAUAGGAUCCUACAAUUUAGAGGGCUCCAAAAUAUGAUUUAUAAUUUUUUUGAAAGCUUUUGAAUUUCUAAAAUUUUCUGAAUUUUUUGAAUAUUUUUCAACUUUUAAAAAAUUUUCAGAAUUAAAAAAAGAAAUUAUGAAAAUCAAUAAUUAAGAAAAAUAGGAAAAAAUUCAGAAAAAUGAAAAGGGAAGAAAAAAAAAAGAAAAAGUAAUCAAGACUCACUCCUGAACCGAACUCGUUUCGGGAUUGGACUUACUUUAGGGCGAGUGCAUACACGAAAGGAAAAAAAGACAUCAUUGCCAAAGCAUUUGUCUUCAUUAUAGAUUUAUAAAUUCAUAUUCAUCAUCAUACAACGAAGUCGUAUGCCUUAUUAAUACUAUCCUUAACCUUACUUAUACAUAACCUACUUAGGAUUUUAACUUAUCCUAAAUAACUAAAAUUUUUUUUUAUCUAGAGAUUAACUGAAUAAUAAAAAUCUAAAAGUAAAUACUAACUAAAAGAUAAGAUCAACUAUUGUAAUCUGAUUUUAAAAAAACAUUGAAUUCAAGUGAUUUAAAUAGAUCAACCAAAUUGGGUCAGGCCAGUUUUGCAUCAUUCGCUUCUGUAGCACAGGGUUUCAUCCUCAAGACUAGCUGGAUUGUAAGGUGAUAAAAAACAACCAAGUGUGUGGAAUAAAGUAAUGCGGUCCAACACUUGCAUGUUGAACAACUUGUAUCAUCAAAGUCUCCAACUUGGUGUUGAUGUAGGAAUGACUAGUAAGUCGAUGACGCUUUAUAAAGAUUGAUAUUAUGGAGAAAAGUGGUUUUGGUGCAAUUUGAAGCUCAAGUAUGGAGGGCGGAUAUUGCUGGGGCAGUGAGGGUAAAUCGAUUUGUAGUCUUAUCUCUUCAACGCACUCAUCUACCUUGGCUGAAUAACUGCGGAUGCUCAAAUUCUAACUCCGUCACAUCUAGAACUUAUUUGCAAUCGGAUGGUGCGAAUGGACUGGAUCAGAAUUGUCAUCUCCUGACUUGUGCUAUGGGUGGCUUACUUUGUUGAGCAAUUAGGGUUUCCAGUUGAACUUUUAGUUGGAUCCAUCAAUACUCAUCUCUUAUCUUACUCAUCAUUAAAAAUCAUUUUCAACAAUUUUAGCAUCAUCUUCAAAAUCUUUCAACCUCCUUUUUUUCUUUGUCUGAAAAGUAUUUUGUUAAAAUCAAGAUGAAAUAUUUGCUUUUGUCUAUAUCACCAUCUCAAAUUACCUUAGUAUUUCCAUUUGAAUAUCGUUUUUUUUUCCUCCCAAAGUAUGACUUCUGAUCAUACAAUCAUUCAUCAAACUCGACUCUUGUCAUCUCACAUAUUUUUUUCACUGACUUUAUAUGAAUCCUUUUUCUUCUGCUAUACUUCCGGAAAACAUUUUUUAAGACAUUCUUUUGCAUCCAUGAUGUUUUUUUUAACUACUUUUUCUCUAUUUUUUUCUCCACACACUUUUCUUUCACCUUUUCUUUCACUCUACUUUUCUUUAUUUUACUUUUUCUCACUUUUUUUUUUUAUUUUCACCCUGUUUUCUUCCACAAGCCCCAAAUUUUUGAGGAAACGGAAUUGUCAAAUAGCCUAAGCUCUGAUGCCAAAUCUGAUAUAGGAUGGAAUGUAGUACCCUGCACUUUGGAGGACUUCUAAAUAUGAUUUACAUUAUUUUUGAAAGCUUUGGCAUUUCUAAAAAUUUUUGAAAUAUAUAUAUUUUUUUUAAAUUUCAGGAAUUAAAAAAGAAGAAAUUAUGAAAAGUAUGAAAUUAAAGAAACAAGAAUAAAAUUCAGAAAAAUAAAAAAAGAAAGGAAGAAAAGAAAAUUAGAAAGAAUAAUCAGGACUCACUCCUGAACUGUACUCUCUUCUGGACUGAACUCACUCUAGAGCGAUGCAUUCGUGAAAGAAAAUAAAAGACAUUAUUGCCAAAGCAUUUGUCUUCAUUAUAGAUCCAUAAAUUCGAGUUGAGCUAGUAUACUAUUAAUGGUAUAUAAAUAGUAUUUACUAUCUAAUUUUCUGCUAUUGGAUUAUUACUAUACCACCUACCACCACUAAAUCCUAGGCAUCCGAUGGCAAAAAAGUUGGUAGCAAACACUCUCAAUAGUAUAAAUAGCAUUUUAGCCCCACUAUGUAAAUUCAUAUCAUUAUCAUACAAAGAAGUCUUUUGCCUUAUUUAUACUAUCUAUCCCCUUAUACAUAACCAAGUUAGGAUUUAAUUUUAUCCUAAAUAAUGAACUAAACAAAACCUUAUCUUGAGAUUAACUGAAUAAUAACAAUCUGAAAUAAAUACUACCUAAAAGAUAAGAUCAACUACUCUAAUCUGAUUUUUUUUUUCAAAAUAAGCAAUAAAUUCAAUCGAUUUAAACUGAUUGACCAAAUCAGGUCGGCCCAGUUUUGCAUCAAUCUGCCACGUGGCAACCUCUGGCUUAUUAAACAGGCUUAUUGACAGCAUAGACUUUAAUUGAAACAAGUGACAAACUUUAGGGACUUGAUCGAAACAAUUAAAAAGUUUUGCAAUUAAAAUGAGAAAUUGGGUAAAGUUUGGGCAUCAACAUAGCAGCUCACCCUCUAUUAUGUACUGUAUCAAGUGUUCUAUCUCAAGUGAGAAAUCUGUUUAACUGUUCAACUAAUUUGUGUUUUAUUCUUUAGGAACACUUGCUGAUAGUUUGUGAGCUUCUCAAGGCAAACUUAUAUGAAUUUCACAAGUUCAAUAGAGAAUCUGGAGGGGAGGUUUACUUCACCAUGCCGAGGUUGCAGGUUGUUUAUUUAUUUUGUUUCUUUAGGUUGUUUAAAUUUCACCACCCCGUUGGCCCGCGUUUUGAACUUUUGUUGUUCAGGUUAUUUCACAUUUUUGCUAAUUUCCUCUACAGUCAAUAACUAUUCAGUGUCUGGAGGCACUUCAGUUUUUGCACGGCCUUGGUCUUAUUCAUUGUGAUUUGAAGCCUGAAAAUAUAUUGGUGAAAAGCUACAGCAGGUGUGAAGUCAAAGUCAUUGACCUUGGGAGUAGCUGCUUUGAGACCGACCAUUUAUGUUCGUAUGUACAGUCACGAUCGUACCGCGCACCUGAGGUUAUAUUGGGUCUUCCUUAUGAUAAAAAGAUUGAUAUUUGGUCACUCGGAUGCAUCCUUGCUGAACUUUGUACCGGAAAUGUAAGCUCUAUUUUCUGUUUGCUAUAAUGUUUGAGAAAUCAUUUACCGACAUAUACGCCCGUGGAAAUUUUAAAAUUUCUUCAAUGCCUUCAAAAACUUAAUUUCUUAUGUAUGUACCCUUGUUCUUUCAAAAAUAUCCCUGUUUUGGAAUCCACUUCCCCUCCAUAGAUUGGAUGAUUCCCACAUUUGAAGGAAACUGCACUUUCAAGGGUACAUAUAGAAGUUCAGAUUUUAUGGGACUAUAUAUGUAUAUAGUAAAUAGGUUACUUUGCAGGUGUAUACGUAUAUAUAUAUAUAUAUAUAUAUAUANAUAUACUUUUAUCUCAAGUCUAUUUUAUCUAAUAGCAUCAUAUAGGCCUCAAUACCAAACUAAGAUUUGUUUUGUAAUGAUAGGUUAACUUGCAAAGCAUCCUCACCCAAUGACAGAUGACAACUCUUAAUUUUUAGAGAAAGUAAAACAACAAAAAAUAACAAAAGAGGAUACAUUUAAAUUUUUACCUUUGUAGUCAAAUAAAUAUCUUAGAUAUACGCAAUAACUACAUGCAAUAUUCAUCCUUCACUUCUACAUCUUAUUUUUAUAAAACAUUUAUUUAAAUAAAUUAAAAAAUGAUGUCCCAUAAAAACUUGGAAUUUAGAAGACGAAUUUCCAAUGUUUAUAACUUGGUUAUUAAUGGGCCAUGUGUCUCAGCCUACGUACUUGAACAAUAGGCCCAAUGUAUUUUCUCGAAAAAAAAAAGGCGCAAUGUAAAUCAAUGAUCGGGGCCAUAAAAGGCCCAGGAAAUCUCAGAUUGGGCUCAUAAAAGGCCCACAAUGACCUUGAAGGAUCUCCCAACCUUAGCUUUUAUUAUCACAAUUUCACAAAUCUAACUUGUGGAGCAUUUAUCUUUGUUUAUUUUUUCUUUUUCUCUUAGUUUUAAUUAAUCUUUCUUUCAGAAAGCCCAGGCACACCUGUAACUCCAAAAUUUACUAUUUAUUUUUAUAAAAUGUAAAAUAUAAAAAUAAAUGUUAAAUAAGUUAGACUACUGGUAUUAGAUAUAAAUAUUAAUUUUAUAAUAUUAAGCAUUCACAUAUAAAUUAUACAUUAAAAAAUAAAAUAAGAUUGAUGCAGUUUAAGUUAAUUUUAUAUUUAACGAAAAUUAAUUGCAAGAAUCGCAAACAAUGAAUUCUCUUCUCAUUCACUAACUACUGGGGGAUUACGAUGCCUACUAAAAUUAUUUCACUAACUAAUGGGAGACUACUAUACCUACUAAAAAUUUUUGAUGUACUUAUUGCAUUAUUUAAAUUCUAAAAUUAAUUUUUAUAACUAAUUUUUAAAAUUAAAUUUUAAAAUAACUACCCGCAGCAUCGCACGGGUCCCAUAACUAGUGUUUUUGCUAAAUGGCUUCAGUUAAUACCACCGCUUGAUGCAUGCUAGGUCAAAAGUGUGAGCCUCAUUACAAUAGCCUAGCUCAAGGUUAAGUAUAUAUAUAACUGUACUUUAUGCAAAGAAAACUUUUGAAAGGUUUCUUUUUUCUUUUUUGCAAUUUUUCCUUAACUUAAUCACACUAUAUGUAAUCUUAUUAGAAACUCCCUUCAUCAUUUGAUAAACAAAUUAAAGAAUUUAAAAGGAGCUCCUUGUAGAUUCUAUUUCUUUUCUUUUUCCCCUUUUUAAUCCACAUAGUUUCCACCUACUCCAUUAGUUGGAUUGUGACCACCACCACCUACGAGGGAGAGAUAUAACUAAUAUUGUGUAGGACGAAUAGUAGGUUUCUGGAGCAAAAACAUUAUAUGAGCUUCAUCCCUAUGAUAAUGCAUGUGAAUAUGAUGAUGCAACACUUUGACCACGUGACUCGACCGUUUGGUUGGUGGUCACGUGCUCCGUUCGUUGCACCCACCCGUUGGUAAAUCCCUCCGGUCAAAACCCUACUCCUCCCUCACCCACGUAAAAACUAUUAAAUGCAUGCACCUGAUUCGUGCACCCAUUUACUUAGUACACCAUCAUAAUUAGUCGUAAUGCAACUACAUAUACGUUUUGGAACUAUAGUUUUUGGAACAACUUUGAUAUUUUU
rnacentral:lncRNA from 1 species